AAUAUUGGAGGGGAUGGCGGCGAAGGCGGUGGAGACCGGGGCGGUGGCGGUGAAGGCGGCGGCGGCGAAGGCGGUGGAGACCGGGGCGGCGGUGGUGAAGGGGGCGGCGGCGAAGGUGGUGGCGACCGGGGCGGUGGCGGCAACGGCGAAGGUGGUGGAGACCGGGGCGGCGGCGGUGGAGGCAAUGGAGACCCGACGCAUGUUCCACACGUCUUGCGGCACCAGUAGUCAACUAUGGACUGGUCUCUAGCGAAGUACACGGGGGCACAGUAGCCGCUGGCUUUCCAGGUGGCACAGGAGCUCGCCAGUGGCUCCCGAUCAGCGCAGCUGUGAAUGUACAUGUGCACGUGUGUGUUGCGCCGCGGUCACACACAUACAAUGGUACGUUAGUUUGCAAGCAGCCGCAUGUAAUAAGGCAGCAAAUAAAACAAGCGAAGCAGUGGUAGGUAUUGAAACCCCAAGUAGCCCCGACUGCAGAAGUAAUGGUGAUAAGCCCACACACACUGCCGGUGCUAACGACAUGAAAGCUAGCGCAAACACAACAACAUCUUUGCUUGUCAUGCUUCAAGCCCCCCACAUAUGCACACUUCGCAUGCAGGCAUGGAUACACACAGAAAACGGUGAAGGCGCUAGCAUUGCAAUCAUGUACGACGGUUCCAGGUAUCUGGGCUAGAGGGCACAUGCCCCCAUACAGCUAAAUGGGACUCGAUGGUGCGUCUGUGCGUCUGUGCCUACAUUGAGGGGGUUGAUGGAGACACCGAGGGUGGCGAAGGCGGUCGUGGCGAUGGCUGCAGUGGUGGCGGUCGUGGUGACGGUAGUGAUGGUCGUGGUGGCGGUGGCGGGGGAGCUGCUAUUUCUGGUCUUGGAAAUGCCCUAGGUGAUGGUGGCUUGGGAGAAGGAGGCCCAGGUGCAGGUGACUUGGGUGGCCCGAAUGAAAGUCGCGGUUGAGGCGCCUGCAGAGGCGGAGUUGUGGCCCGCAAGCGACGUGUAGAGCCCGCAAGCAUGUGAGUGCUCAGCUGACGAAGUCCCUCAGCGCGAUGGCCACUAUCAGCGACAUCAGCAGCCUGUAGGUAUGCGGCGGAGGGUCAUCGCGUAAGCAAUUGCAAGGCCUUCGGCGCCUCAGAAAAGAAAUUUUAUGACGAAACGUUUUCUCCUCAAAUCAUAUUCUGUAUAUGCAUGGUCCUCCCUGUCUAUAUAAAAAUAUAUAAUGCGCACCUUGGUUAUUACAGGGCUGCUGCUAACGGAUACCGCAAGGGCCGCGCCGAUCAGCAGCAGAACGAGCAGCGACAUAACUGUACAGCUGAACACAGCUGAAGCUCUUUGAGUGUAUGAUGCCCAACACUUGUGCAAUAAAAUGUUAGGCUCAAAUUGUGUUUUAAAGGUGCUAAGUGCUAAACAACUAAGACGGCGGCAGCUUAGUCUUGAGCGCCGAACAUCAAGUCGUCGAGAUUUUUAGUACCUGGCCAUGGCACCCCGCCCGGGUAGCUUAUAUCUCGGCCUACCUGCCGGAGAUUCCCUACUACGGACCUAGCGUACUAGGAUACUGACGAGGGGGCCCGGGGCCCCGCCCCGUUAGGUUCGCUACCAACAACUGCCGUCUUCGUGACAUGUCACGAUAGUACGUGACAUGUACGAAAGUUGUGUCGGAUCGUCAACGAAAUUUACAGUUAUUGUAAAAAAAUAAUCGUUGAAACAUUCUAAGGGAAAUGUAGCGUACUACAGUGGAUAUCCUUGCAAAGCCGUUGCCGGAUGUUUUCUUGAGAAUUUGUUCUGCGAUACCUGUAACGGUUGAAUUUGGCUACACCUACAGAGAUCUCUUCGCCUAUAUCUCAAUAUGCUCCUACUGCGGGAAUCCGCUCCAGGCAGGCAGGACAAAUAUUUCGUUGUCCACCUGCAACCGUCUACAUAGAUAUUAGUACACUUUGUUACAGAGGUUGCCAUAGAGGUGGCGAUGUUGUCGAUGAUGACGUUGCAAGCCUCGCCCGGCCGUCAGGUCAAUGGAUUCAGGGCGAUGACCAGGAUCCACUUCGCCUCGCACUUUUUAAUACUGGGCGAUGGAUGAUGUACAACAAAGGACACACUUGGCAAGAGAACAUAAGCCUGCCAACUGGGAAUAGUACAGUAUAAUUUAAAUGGAUAAAAGGAUUAGGGAGCUGCGGCGAUUAGUUAAAACAGUCAGUUUUGGAAAAUAUAUAUCAGGGUUGCGACUAUUACAGAAUAAUACGCAAAGCACAACUACGCCCAUAUACGCCGGCGAGGUGGUCGAUUUUUCGGGCGGCGUAUUAGUGGCGUGAAGUCAGCGUAAUUGUUUUACCGUAUGGUCCUACAGGCCCCCAUACCGCUUGUUCUGUCACCCCAAACAGCGCGCACUGCUCUCUCCGUUGCUAAUGGUAUCGUCUUAAUAGUGCAGUGAUAUCGACCGGCUCAGGUAAACAGUCGGUGUUCGUGUGUGUAUGUGUGUAUGUGGUUGUUACAGUGGGCUCCAGACUCACGAAGAGUAGAGCCAGCGGGACAGCUGGCCGUGCACUGAGACUAAUAUACAAAUUAGACAAUCACCCAGAUAAGACAACUAAAGGCAAAUAGACGGUCAAAACCGCGACUAAAGGGAAGGCUCAGGAUUCCUAGUUAUCCUACGAGCUGGAAGUACUGCUGGAAAAAACUAGUUUUCGUGAAAAGUCUUCGUUACAAAGACAGUACCUGCAAGCAAUAAAAGCAGCCUUUGUGAUAGGGUAGGGCGCACUGUUAAAACCAACAAAGCGCCGGACCCCAGCCGGGUCCUAUUUCAGUGGUUACCAUUCCCCUGGUAUAUGAGUGUCGACCAUUUCCAACACGCACUACCCCGAAGCGACAACUAGGCCUGCAGACCAACCGCUUCAGGACAGCACCCUAAGCGUAGCUACGCAAACCCGAAGUAACCAGCACAGUCAUUCGCAGCGACACAUAACCACGCAAGUCCGUGCAUCGUACAGUUGCACUCCGACUUAACAGAAAACCUUAGUUUUCUAGAAGCUUCGCUUAGAAAACUAUCAGUAAAUAGCUAGUCUACUGUUCAUCCAGACUGUGUUGUAGGAUUGUCCCUAAGAUAAUUGCUAUUGGCAAGACCUAGGAAGGGUGUUGGCAGUUGGGUGGCAACCGCAAGGCGACCUUCGCUGAACGCGUUACUUAUGCUUAAGCAUGUGCAAAAUGUCUCACACGAAAUAAUCAGAGUCUUACGACGAAAAUGGAAGCGUAAACAAUUUCAGUGGAAAGAUGUAGCUUUGACAUCUUCUUGGGGACAUGGAGGCCCACAUGCCACUGCCGCUGCUGCCACCACCGGUGCUCGUCAUCCCCCAUGCCGCCACUCCGACACUUCCGGGCGCCAUCCCAGGCGCCAGUGUACAGAACAAGUGACCCGUUUGGCGUUGAUAAGAUGUGCGGUUUGGACUCCCGGGCGAGCUGAGAUGCGAGUAUCGCCGAUGAUUUGCGGCACCUGGGCAAGCUUCUGUUCUGGCACAUGGUGCGUAAGUCAGUCAUGUGUAGUACCGGUAGCUGGUAUCGGCGGGGGAGGUGGUGGUGGUGUGUGCGGAUUUAUAAUAUCCGCAGUAGUGGUGCUGCGUUUUUCCGUCCAGGUUGUUUCAUUUGCUCAAUUGGGCUGUCGUCCACAUCCAGCACCCGCCGAAGGACCUUCUAAACGGACAUUGCGCGGAGCUUGGUGUCAAUCUCAGCGCGCGUCAUCAUAAUCCCCAGGCGUUGUCGUAGCGCUGUAGAACGUCCUUAUGCUUGAACCUGCUUGAACGAUCUUUUGCAAUGAGGCGAACAGCGCCGUUCUGUUCUGUCGGGCCGCAGACGCCAUCCGCUUGGGGGCCCAGUUAGGCUGCAAUUCAGAAAAUUUAGUCCUUAUCUUGCUGGCAUUUUGUUUUGGCCAUGCAAGACAAGUUUAGUGGCGCAAGCUAUCCAAUACAUGGGUACAGGAUGGACUAGUAGAACCUGUGGGAAAUAUAGAUGCAAAAAAUAGAGAAAAGCGAUAAUGCUGGAUGUGAUCCCCAUAUUGGGAACAUUGCCCGAAACCUGCAGUGCUUGAGUGAUGUUCCGAUGUGCUUCGGAUCACACUUCUUGCGGCUUCGCUUCGGAAGCACGGCCAUGCAAAAAACACUCAUAAAAAAAUAUUUUUAUGCAGGUGAAGUACCGAUAAAACUGCAUCUAAAUUAUGUAUGGCACUAGGGCGUCCGAUAGGAGGACUGGAGGACAAAUGUUCCUCCAGUUGCCGCUGGCACCAUCUGGAUACGCACCCAAAAGCAACAUUUGCUUUGUUACCAAAUACACCAUUUUUAUCUUUUCGACUUGUCUCUUCCAAACUGUUAGAGUACUUCGUCAAAUACAUUCGAUACGAACGGUUGCCGAACUUUUCAGCAUACUCUUCCCUUUACGCAUGAUUCCAAAGCUCUGGUAGCUGAUGAGUGCUGGCGACUGUUGCGGUGCAAUGGCACUUCCGUUAGACAUUCAUCGUUCCAGAGUCUGAGCCAACAUGUGACGCACUUCUGAGCUGCCAUUCACACAAGGGCUGGAGAAGUUGGGGCGAGUAUCCGCCAUCUCACACUCUCUUUCGUAACUGCCGUCGGUCGUACGGUGUAAUCAACUUUCAAUAUAUAUAUAGCCCAUGGCCUCCCUGCUUUGACGGACCCCCCCGCACUCGUGCGGCACUUGUAACUUGUAACUUGUAACUCUCUUUCGUAACUCUCCCAGUUAAGCUGUCGAGCUCCACGCACCUUGCACAAAAUUAAUCUUUUUACAGCGGAGUUAAAAACUUGUUGUCAGCACAAUCGUAGCUUGUUUCACAUCAUUUCCUGCGCUGAAUUUUUAACCUUCAAAUCGACGUAUCUAUAGUUUAGCGCUAUCAUGUGCAAUGCAUGAAUCCGCAGCGGGCAAAAGCUGGCAUAAGGAGUGCCUAGAAGCAGUGGACUUGCAGAGCUAUUUAAUGGAGUUAGUGGAGCGCGCAGCCCAUUUCCCUGUAGUAAUGUAAAAUCUGGCCGCAAUAAGCAACGAUUUAUACGCAUCGAGACGCAGCAUGCUGCUGUUGUCUUGCCAACAGGCUUGCUUGUUAAGACGAACAUCUCAAUUUCAGCGGUAUAGUUGGCUAUUGUUAUCGUAAUGCUAUAUGAGUGACGAUGUUGCCUUGUUGUUGGCGCGCCCUCCUGAAACAUGGUGGAUAAGCCAUGACAGCUUGCAAGCAACGUUUACGGACGAGCACGUACGUGGCAGGAAUUCACACUUCCUGAUGGAAAGUGAAGAGGGCCAGUAUGGCGCAUAUGAAUAGCGCGAUGAAAUCCAAUGAAACGCUGAGUAGAUAUAUUGUAUGCUAGGAAGACGGGUUUUGAAAGAGGUUUGCGAAGCGGAAGACGCAGAGAUUCGACAAGGCGACAAGGCGACAUGACUUCCGAGAACGGGCAAAGAACAAGCCAAGGUGCUGAGAACAUCAGAGUCCUUGAUAUGUUAAAUGCAAUUCAUGCUAAGAGGUAGAAGCAAUAUUAGACGAGAGGGAUCAAGGACGGAGUUUGGGGAGGGACGAGUCUGUGUGCCUGUAUGUAUGUUGUUACAGGGUGGUAUAGCUUCACUAGCGGCCCCAUUUCCCGAGGCAGUUCCCUGCUCUCCCCUGCGAGAGGGGCACCCUAAUCCAUUCACCCCAUCCGACUUCAGAAUGGAUUUUCGUUGGGUUCAGUAACUCACGACCAGCAUCCAACCAAAUCUAGCGGAUCAACGGCGCCACAACUUAGUUCCUGGUCAGGUCGCAAGUAUGUCUGUAUAUAUGUGUGAAACAGGGGGGUGUAUCUUCGCCCGUGGCAGCUACCCUGCGAAACCCUGCCUUCCCCGGUAUUUCGGGGCACCCUCAUCCAGUCACCCUAGUCAACUCCAACGGAACCUGCCGGGUCGACAGCAGCGCAACUCCAUUCCUGGUCGGCUCGCAGGUUAACUUUAUCCCAGGUCACCACCGUCCAUCAACUAGGGGCGCAAUGCCUUCCACCAUCGGAAGGACUUUUGACCCUAAUGGGUAUCGAUCCCGGGAUCUCCCGGGGGCAGUGGUCGCGCCUUACCAGUAGUGCCAAACCCUAGUAUAGUCUGUAUGUCUGUAUGUCUGUGUGUCUGUGUAUGUAUGUCUAUGUGUCUGUAUGUCUGUGUGUCUCUGUGUAAUCAGUGCAGUGCAGAACAGUCAUGCAUGGGACGCAAAUAUUUUACAUGCAAGGUUCUGCAUCUGGGACAUUUCAUUUGUCGACCACCACACCACGCACUGGCUACACACCGUGCCAGCUAAGUGCAUGGCUGCAUGAUAAGAAGUAUUGACCUGACCGAACGCAGAACUAACCUGCAAAGGAUAUUGCCUCUACCGCGGUUAACCACGCAAAAUUGCAAUGCCUUGCGUAAUCUCCUAGACACGACUGAGGAUGAUGAGCCAUGGAUGUGAAAAACCGCAAACCGGGCAAGGGACCGCUCCAUCACAGGAUCAGCUGGCUCCCGUACAUACGGAGCAUGUUUACGAUCGACCUAUUGGCAUAAAUCGACCUAGUGGCAUAAAUGGCCGUACAGCGGUAUAAUAUAGAAUUAAGCACAUACAAGUAGUUGCACAUCCGCUUUUUUCCCAAAUGGUGCUCAGACACAUGACUACUCCUAGGCCGGACACAUCGGCCCAUACCUAAGCUGCAAUACAUCGCAAGUUAAGAAGGAAUGGCCCCUGGACAACUUGGUUAGGGCAGCAGUAGUAAUACUAAUAUAUGGGAGUACACCGGCCCGAGCCUGGUGUGUUUGAGUUGAGGGGGCUUCAUGCUAAGGGGGAAAUAAACUUGGGCGGCAUUUCUGCGCCUGCAGUCCACACUGCACCAUGCCCCGGCGGACACAUGCAUCAUUAGGAGAACUCGCAUAUGGGUGCGGGGCCAGGGGACGCACUCCCCACUUGCAUGCAACGUUGACACAGGAGAGGCACUUAGGUAUGUGCACUCUGGUUGGCCAGCCAGCACCAUUGGCCAGUAUGGAUUCAUGCGAUUGACUCCUACGACAUGUGCUCGCUAGCUCGGGUCACGCUGUACACAUGCACAUGCACUAUGGAGUAGCGGUGAUUUGGGAACUAUUGGAGCCUACAUUUAAGCAAACAACUGCCAUACAUACAGAGACGACCUUAGGUGAAAUGAAUGGCAUGCACAGCACAAUACAUAUGAUGCCGGAGACAAAAGGCAAACUGUGGAACUACAUACCGCGGUCCAGGGUUCCACGGUCGUGCAUGUGGCUGGCAUAAUAUAUGAACUCGCUGGAUCCCUGGAGACUUUUGCAAACACCAAAUCAACCAGGAAAUGGGAAAACUCCUUCUGCACCAAAGAACGUGUGUCUCUAAGCGGGGCACCUAUCAAUCUGCGUGGAAUGUGCAUGUACACAUACACAGUGGAGAUGGAACAGAAUGCCUGGCUGGCGUGUAUUUAGGUGGAUGAAGUAGUGGUGGGGCAUGUGCAUGUAUUACCGUGGGUUUGCGUUCCGUGUUUAUUAUUAAGCGACGGACGUAAUGACCACCCGUCCAUCCCUGUCACUGCCGGUGGGCAGCACGUCUUCAACAGAAGCGAUGUCCACUUCAAGUGAUCGGCGGGCAGAGACGGGGGGAAAGACGUUCGCCAGAAGGUAGCUAUCUCCAAUAAUAUUUCCCGGUGGUGCAUAAUAGCAAACAACCACAUAACAGUUCAUGCCUCGCGCUGCAGCACAGCCGACUUGCGCCGUCGAAGCCCACACGACUUGAGUGAAGCGCGCAAUAAUCGAGUAUGGAUUGUCAGUGUACGGUGUGCUCGUGAACUUGUACAGCGAAAUUUCGCCGUACCAUGCUUCCACUGCCCUACUGCAAUUGAGGGGAGAUGUCUGGCUUGAGGUCGACGUCGUGUACAAAUUCUCGCCGGUGACUCCUUCGUUAUGCAAACCGCAGCUGUUGUUUAGCGCCAGGUUGGCGGCCCAGUUCUGCGUUCGGACGUCAACAUUAUACAUUAGUACAUGGGGAGUGUACUUGGUGCAGGCCGUGACGCAGAAGGAGGCCAGGUGACGAACGGAAAGUAAGCUACACGAGGACGGCACGUGCUGUAAUCCACAAACGGCCGCAGCGGCAUACGUGCGUACGAUGUGGAGCUGCGUGCGAUGCUGUCACGAUACAGUUCCCAUUACUGGGUUCCUCCCAUGCAUCUGUCUAUCUUGCAGGUGUAUUCAUCCUAUUGCUGCAGCAAGAAUCCGUGGACACAAACACGGAUUCUCAAUCUAGCUGCUAAACACGCUCACGCAUUGUUGUCUCUUCAUACUGUUCCCAACACACGCCUGGCUCACGUGCCGGCAGGUGGCAGCUAGGACUCUUGCAUGACAGGGGUCCGCCUCUCCCCGCGGGCCAUUCCCCAACCCCACCUCCCCUAACCGACCGGGAGAUCCCCACCUCGGGGCCCCCGCAAUGGAAACCCCUUCAGGUCCCUUUUUCGGAGUUGGUCCACGAACACUACACACAUACUUGUGCGAGCGUACUUACCUUUGCUUGCUGCGCGAGGGUGUUGUCCCAGCCCAGUGCCGGCGACCCGUGCCGUGCACGGUACUGGUUGUGCAGCAGCAGGGCGGCGGCAGGGUCGGCACAGCCUGCAUCGGCGGCAGCAGUGGCGACGCCAACAUUACAGCAGACGACAACAGUGGGGGAGGUACGUGGCAAGAACGACAAAAGACAUGUAUUACCGCCGUGUGGUUCGCGGGGGCAGCACAGGUGGUCCGUUCGGGUCCGGGAUACACCGUAUGUAACAUUCCCAUUCAUUCAGCUGGUGACAGGCGCAUGAGUAGUUGGUGGUCGCUGCAGGUCUUCAUGUCUUCAGGAGAGCCAGCUUAAAUGGGUGGUGAAGACAUAUGAUUGAAAUUGAUUAUAUUGAUAUAUUGGCGGUUCGUCCGCAAGUCGCCCUUGGCACUAUGUGUAAAGCAGUCAGAGUGCAGAAAUAACCAUGUUUGUAUGCGCAUAUUCGUACAUGCAUGUGUAUGUGCGUAUGUAUCUAUGUGUGUAUACGGCUGCCAGCCGAGUUUGUUGAAUGAUGAACUAGGGGCGGGCUAUCUGAGCAGCUGCACGGCUAUGAAUGUAGCUGCAAGAAUGCAUGUGCUGAUGGGUACAUAAAUACCGAUAGAUGCAUGGAUGGACAUGCACCCGCCCACCACACAAAUGCACGUGCACGCAUGAGCAUCAUGUUGGGCAGCGAUUUCUAUUUGCGCAACAUUCUCCGUGGUCCUGAAAACUAGGACCAGAUUGUGUUCCGACCGUACAAGCUCAUUCCUCCAGCCAAAAAUGGGCUGUCAAUGCCAAAGCCGCUGGAAUCAUACAGGAGACAUACAUGUUAAUCACAUCAUAGCACUUCAAUCCCGUGGAUGGUACUGUUCGGAAGGUCACGCCCGCGAGUCAACGAGGAACAGGACUUCCUGACCGGACCAAACGCUGCAAAAUAAUCAGCCCCAAAGCUCCCACAGCGGCAUUUGUACGAACUAAAUUGUAACGCAUGGGGGGGUGUUUCUGGGGGGGCCGGAGCCUCCCCAGCGCCUUACAGAUUGGGAAUAGUUUUAUUCCCGCGUUUAAAACCCUAUUUCCCCCAUUCGGACCGGAAAAUUCACGGGCAAAAACGCUGCUCUUGGGAAUAGGAGCCGCUGUGCGUGAGUAUAACUUGUGACGAGCGUAUACAAUCAGUUGCGCAGCACAGCGGUCGCUAGCUAGCUCACCGCCGAUUAGGGCAUCUCCGGGAAGGGGCGGUGGAAAUGGUGCAUUGGGAGGCCUGCAGCAGCAGCAACAGCAGCAGGUCCGCGAAUUGGCCUCGGCGGGUAUGUCGUGAAAAGCAGGCAUGUCUUCCUCUUAUCAUGUUGCCAGUAUACGGCAUACACCAGCCAAGCAGGAAGCAUGGACCCCCAUUCCUGAGGAACGUGUAAAAACUUGUACAAGUCCAUGUCCGGAAACAUACGUACGCGGUGCAGACUCCACACGUCGGGCGGCACCAGUAGUCACGGACAGAUAAGCCUUGAAGGAUGCGCGUGGGCUCGCAAUAGCCGAUGUUUUUCCAGACAUUGCAGUACGACACCUGGUCAACGCAUCUCCGUCGUCCUCCAGGCGAUGACCUGGCGACCGACGGAGAUUCGUUCCGUCCGUGAUAUAAAAUAUCACGCACCCGCGCGCGUGAUACAGCGAGGGCACGGGUGAUGAUGUACGUUGCCAGCGAUUUAUAUUGUUGUUGCGCGACAGCAUCAUGGUGGCGUCGGGCCAGAAGGCGCGGCCGUGUGGGGGGGGGGCGGGAUUAUACGAAGCAUAAUCUACGCAAAUCUACGCAAAAUUCUACUUGCGUAGAAAAGAUGGAAGCAUGCUAUGGAUGAGCAGGUUUCGGAGCCUUCCGUGCCGAUGUGAAUCAGCGAACGUAAGCGUGCCAAAUGUUCAAUGGAAGCAAAGCAGCAGGCAGGCGCGCACAUGAAGGCCACAUGGCUACCUAUAACACACACUCACAAGUGCUUGUCCGGAAACACGCAGCAAGCAGGCAACAGGCAGGAUGGAGGAAGCCGGAAAGGUGGCAGCAAGGUUGUAAGUUAGCGUGCAUAUAUGCAGCUGGUGUAAUACGCACGCAACAGAUGCAUAUCCAGAAACAGACGUACUCGGUGCAGACUCCACACGUCUGGCGGCACCAGUACUCACGGACGGACAAGCCGCCAAUGAAGGACUUGGGCUUGCAAUCGCCGUUGACUUUCAAUUCCGCGCAGUACGACAUUCGGUCGACGCAUCUGAGAUGCUUGGGACAGCAGGCAGCCACGGAUCAUCAAGGACGGGGAUGGUCUUGUUUAUCAUUUCGCACCACAACUAACAAGCACCGGACGGAAGCAAGGAAGGCAGGUGGCAUUCGGGCACACCCACCCGUCAGGACAGUCAGGUAGCAGGCAGCCAGCGGCAAUACCAUUAUUGCUAGAGGUGCUGGAGAACAAUGCACACGGGAAUAUAAUGCUGAUGGACUUAUACGAGCACCCUUGCCCACUGGUUAGCGGGUUAUCCAUGCAUGCACCCAGCAGCAGUAUCUUAGUUGAGCGGCCACCAGGCCAUUAGCCGCUACUCACUAACAUAAUAUCAUAGCUAGUAGCCAAAAUAAGUCGAUACAGCUUGCUUGUCCUAGCGCUCGAAAAGCACGCUGAGUGCGGGUGCGUGGGUGCAUGCAAAGUUGCGGAGUAAGGCCAGCACCCAACCGCCCACGCGCUCUAACCAAGCACUUACGACAGUGGUGGUGACGGUGUUGGCACCGGCGGUGAUGAAAGCGGCACCCUGGCGACCGCGAUAUGAAUAGUUAUACCACAUUAACACAACGGGCAUACACAAGCGAGCGUGUUUUAGCCGGGGCCCGGGUCGUGUCGUACAGCGUUAGCGGGUUAUAUUGUUGUUGACAUCAUGGCUCCCGAUCAGUGCAGCUGUGAAUGUUCAUACGCACGUGUCUGUUGUGUCGCGGUCACACACAUGCAACGGUAUGUUUAGUUUACAAGCAGCCGCAUUUAAUAAGGCAGCAGGUACGUGGAACAAGCGAAGCAGUAGUAGGCAUUCAAACCCCAAGUAGCCCCAACUGCAGAUUAAAUAGCACCUACGUACUGCAGAUGAUGAUAAGCCCACACAUGCUGCAGGAGCGAACACAGAGAUGAGAGCUAGCGCAAACGCAACAAAACCUUGCUUGUGUAGUGCUUCGAAGCUUAUAAAUUCUCUUUCUCUCUGUACAAACAGAGUCCCUCAUGCAUCCGCACAGGAGUUGAUGGCGGGGCCGGCAUUGCAUAUACGUAAACAGAGCAGGUCACCAGUCAUGGACGGUCCCUACUGCGUGAGCUGGACGCGUCAACCACAAAGCUAUACUACCAAUUCAAUUGUCCGUCGGUGCCUACAUUGGGUUCGCUGGCGGCGGGGGGAAUAUUGGAGGGGAUGGCGACCGGGGUGGCGGUGGUGAAGGCAGCGGCGGCGAACGCGGGGGAGGCCGGGGAGGCGGCAGCGGUGAAGGCAGCGGCAGCGAAGGUGGUGGAGACCGGGGCGGUGGCGGUGAAGGCAGCGGCGGCGAAGGUGGUGGAGACCAGGGAGGCGGCAGCAGUGAAGGUGGUGGAGACCGGGGUGGUUGCAGUGAAGGCGGCGGCAGCAAAAGUGGUGGAGACCGGGGUGGUGGCGAUGAAGGCAGCGGCGGCGAAGGUGGUGGAGACCGGGGAGGCGGCGGAGGCGAAGGCAGUGGAGGCCGGGGCGGCGGCAGUGAAGGCGGCGGCGGCGAAGGCGGUGGAGAUCGGGGCGGCAGCGGCGGUGAAGGCGGUGGAGACCGGGGCGGCGGCGGUGGUGAAGGGGGUGGAGACCCGACGCAUGUUCCACACGUCUUGCGGCACCAGUAGUCAGCUAUGGACUGGUUGUUGGCAAAGUACAUGGGGGUACAGAAGCCGUUGGAUUUCCAGGUGGCACAGUAGCUCGCCAGCGGCUCCUGAUCAGUACAGCUGUGGACGUACAUGUGCACAUGUCAUGUUGUAAGGAGACCUUACUGUAAUAAGCCCAUGCAUCCUGUAUGCGCUAACAUGAUGAGGACUAUCACAAAUGCUAAUACAAUCUCGUCGUGCUUCACGCAUCCUACAGCUGUGUGCAUGCAUCCACACAUCUAUAAAUGACGUGGCGCUUGUGUACCUUGUGUGGUUAAAAAGGUGAUUCACUGCUACCCACUGCUAGAACAUUAUGGCAAGUAAUGACAAAGACAUGGACAGUUUGUUUGUCCUAGAUCACGGGAAACAUGCUGUCUGCCCGAACACUUACAGCAGCUGUGGUGAUGGUGAUGGCAUCGGCGGAGGUGGGAGCGCCUGCCUGCAGGCAAGGAGCAGCAAACACAAGAGAGCCCAAGUAAGGAAAACCAGGUUAGGGACAUCCACUUGGGGAACGACUUGGUCAUGGACGGGUUUUCCAGUCAUGGAUCCGGUCAUGUAUGUGGUCAUGGAUCCGGUCAUAAUUUGUCAUUAAGUCAUGGUUCAGGUCAUGGAACAGUUCAUAGUUUGCAAAAGCCAAGUGCAGGAUAUGACUGGUGGGGGUCAUAGAAUGUCUGCGAUUCAUGAUGUCAAUUUAUGAUAAGUCGGGUGUCGGCUUCCUCGAAGCCGGAAAAAGGGCCGGCCACCCCUGGUGUGGGAGCUAAGCUUGCACCGGCGGAAUCGUCAGCACCGCCUGUGGGCUCCACGCGAAUCGCAUCCAUCCCGGGUGCAUGCCACAUGGACAGUGCGGCAGACCGCAAGUCGGAAUGCCCGUGCGGGCAAAUGGUAACGCAAGCUGGGUGAAGUUCGGUGCGGACUGUGAUGUUUAUCCCCGAAGCGCCAGCGGCCUCAGCAAUCCGCCCCACAGCCGCGAGCUUCAUCGCGGCACACCGCAAGUCUCCCGAGGCCCCGAGCAUUGGCUAAAGUAAAUGUACAAACGAGCAGCUUGCGAAUUUCAUAGCGAAAUGAAAGGAAAUAUGUCGGUCUACUGGUGGCAAGUCGGAAUGCCCGUGCGGGCAAAUGGUAACACAAGCUGGGUGUUCAAGUUAUCGUACGCUGUCAUCUCAGAAUUCAUGAGAUACGCGGCACCUUUUGAGAUGAAAUUUAGGCCGUGAGGCGUUGAUGUGACUUUGAGAUCGGUCAAUGGAGGCAGCCAAAAUUGUUUGUGCUCAUACGAUUUUUGUUGGCUACAGGCGAGAUACCUUGCGAUAGAGAAUGCAGUGUAUUACCGAUAACGCGUUUCAGCCGGGUGAAAUACCGUAUCGCUAUGGCCGAUUGGUGAUUUCUGGAUUGGUGAAAGUAAAAAACGCUUCUAGAAUUAAUCUUUCCAACACCGGAAUUGGUGAUACGCUUUGGUGUUACCCCGUCCACUUUUUCCCAUUGCCACCGAAUUGGUGAAAGCCGCCAACCGGACUGCCCCCCGUUCACUGUGGGCCCUCCGAGGCGCCCCAGGCCCACAUCAACCAAUCUGCAGUCGCAUGUAAACGUUUCUAGUAGGCUGGACCCCCAGACGCUCAUCCACUGGCGUAUCCUUGGGCAGCUUCGGUGCGAAGUCAAACAUCGUGCGCUGCCUUCCUGCCAUGAUGAAACUCUUGCUGACCAAGUAAUAAUUUAUUAAUGUAAUGACUAUAUAAUGUAAAGUUUGGCAGGAAAUAUUGCUUUAUGUGUGCUUUUCUGCGAGUUAGGCGGUCCGGCACCCGACCUGGAUCCAAAUUGUACAGGGAUUGGUGAUGGCCGCCGCUCAAUCCCAGCCCGGAUUAUCCUUUGCUACUGGAUUGGUGAUUUUCACCAAUCCGGUGUCACCAAUCGGCCAUAGCGAUACGGUAUUAUGUUUGGUCCGUUACACACCCAAGGCCUGGGAGUUCGAGUAAUCAUACGCCGCCAUCUAAGAACUCGAUUAUGAGAUACGCAGUACCUUUUGAGGUUAAAUUUAGCCCGAGAGGCGUUGAUGUGACUUUGGCCUCGGUCAAUUGAGGCAGCCAAAGUUGUUUGUGUGAAUGCUGUGCCUGUGGGAAGGUGCAAGGUGGUAGUUCACAAUGUCAUGCUUGAACACAGCAGGAGAGAUCCUUUGCUGGUUUAACCUCAAAUACAUGCCUUAAGUGUGUGUUGCAUACCUCUUCUUAAAUCUGAUCCCAAACUGAUACAUUUUUCUGUCUAGUUUUUCCUUUCUCGCUUGGCGCGGUUACUGGACAAGUUCACUGGUUCACAGUUCGAAACUCUUCCAAUCGGUGUCUUCCGACGCCACCAUCCAGUUGUGGUUUGGUUAGAUGUAACAAGUUUGGUAUCGAGACGGUUCCUCCCGGGACCUCUCUCAUUCCUGAAGUUUUCAAGAUCCUACUUUUGCUAUCAAGAUCCCGAUUUCUACUGGCGCGUGGAUGGAGGUCGAUGAUGUCACCGGACCUCUGGCUACAAUAGUCGACGCCCUCGAAGAGGCCGUCCGCGAAGUGGCAGCCGCCGGUCUGUAACUAUUUUAGCAAAACCGUUUGCUAACGUUUUCUAGAAUUUUGGGUUACUAGCGUUAAAGCUGCUUUAGGUUCCGAGCCGCCGGUUCCUUCGGCGGUCCCUGCCCUCCCAAUGGCAUACUCCAGGCCGGUUCCGGCCCGGUUCCGACCUAACGGGUCCAGUUAACGAGAUGGGUAACCGGUCGGUAGGAUUACCGGGCGAACCGUUAUCCGUUAACCGUCCCCAGUAAUCGGUAACCGAUGUCGGUAACCUGGCAUGAGCAAAAAUGCAUUUCUGACUGCAACCAGUUUCUUUGUGACAAUGCCCAUUGUCACAAGGUUCAUGCCCACGUGUCACACCCCGACAAGCUUGAGGAGGUUAAGGCAAUGUGAAUGCCGGGUGACAGGGGUGACAGUCUUGUGCAGGCACAUUUGGAGACUAGUUUACACUGAGAUUGGGGUGAUGUUGGAUGAGAAUACUUGCAGUUCAUGAAAUUGAGGAAAUGUGUUGCAUAGGCAUAUCCAAACGUUUCAGUAGGACGUUGUUUCGCCCGUAACAAACUUGUUACGGGCGAAACAAACUGGAUUUCCACAGUCCCACCACUCAAAGAGCUCCCCACACCAUCGCAAAGUCCCUUUUUUAUUACAGACACAUGUAACAAGUUGUCAUCGCUUGAGAUUGUCGAUAUAUGACUGCUGGAUUGUGACCAGGCCAUCUCCUUACAUGUCUUGCUGCACCAGCAUGAGCAGUGAUCCCUUCUGUUCAAAAUUUUUAGGCAACAUCGCAAUGAGGCAAAACAUUGUGCCGAAUCUGCCGUACAAAGAGUGUUCAAAGCUUCACGCUACUAACGGACGAAUACAUCAGCAUUCAUUUACCUUGAAAGAAUAAAGGAAUUCUAUAGCUUCAUACAAAUUCGCCUAUCAGCAACUCUCCCUGGUCGUUCAAAAGUUGCUUGAAGAUUCUACCGUCUCCAUACCGUAUCGCUAUGGCCGAUUGGUGAUUUCUGGAUUGGUGAAGUAAAAAACGCUUCUAGAGUUAAUCUUUCCAACACCGGAAUUGGUGAUACGGUUUGGUGUUACCCCGUCCACUUUUUCCCAUUGCCACCGAAUUGGUGAAAGCCGCCAACCGGACUGCCCCCCGUUCACUGUGGGCCCUCCGAGGCGCCCCAGGCCCACAUCAACCAAUCUGCAGUCGCAUGUAAACGUUUCUAGUAGGCUGGACCCCCAGACGCUCAUCCACUGGCGCAUCCUUGGGCAGCUUCGGUGCGAAGUCAAACAUCGUGCGCUGCCUUCCUGCCAUGAUGCAACUCUUGCUGACCAAGUAAUAAUUUAUUAAUGUAAUGACUAUAUAAUGUAAAGUUUGGCAGGAAAUAUUGCUUUAUGUGUGCUUUUCUGCGAGUUAGGCGGUCCGGCACCCGACCUGGAUCCAAAACAGGGAUUGGUGAUGGCCGCCGCUCAAUCCCAGCCCGGAUUAUCCUUUGCUACUGGAUUGGUAAUUUUCACCAAUCCGGUGUCACCAAUCGGCCAUAGCGAUACGGUACUAUGAAGGAGCGCUUCUUCAUUUCUUCAUUUUAUCUGAACCUUAACGUAUCCUUCCAACACAAUGUCCAUGGACAACGGUAAUGAGGACGGCGCCUACGAGUUUGACCGGAACGCCCUGGACAACAUCGCCCGUCGGCGACAAGAUCGCCCACGCAAGAAAUACAGCCAGCAUCGUCCAGUGGAUGAGUUUGGAGUACAUAAGUUUGCCAGGGCAAACAAUCUAAGUCAAUUUACCGCGUGCCAAUUGGAGGAUGCCUUGUCCAAGGAAAGGUGCCAUAUGGACGACCUUGUCAACCUAUUGCGCCAAUCUAGUGACAUGGACGCAAAGCAGUUGCUUGGGGACAUCGGCUUGACACCACUUCAUGCUGCUCUGGUCGUCUCAAAAGUUUGUCCUAGCAUAGCUUGCGUAGCUAGUAUUGCCUGGUUUUAGUUGUUGCAUGUAAGCUUGUGAGUUGGUGGCCUGGUUCAUGCUUAUGGCCUUUGCCGAAGGCUCUGUCAAGAGCUCCGUAGCACCCUUUCGGUGCUGCAACAGACAUUCAAAAAUUGACAGCUCUCUUUACCUGGGUACACGGUCUGCCUGAUCUGGGUCAGGAUAGUUGGAAUGGAGCAGACUAGGCGAAGUCGAUAUGACCAAUGGAACUGUCCCACCGCUAUCGAUAUGACCAAUGGAACUGUCCCACCACCGCCUAUUGCCCUGAAUAACAACGAUCAAUUGAUAAAUAUCAAUAAUCCCUCAUCUGCUGUUCCGAUUCCUGCGGUGGAACACAUCGCGGGUCGCCACCGCCGGCGAUGUUGUUCCUUACAUCGCUACCGAGCGCGAUUUGCCCGCUGGGGUCAGUGAUGAGGUGAUUAGGAUAAAUAUUCCGGUACCUAGGCUUAGUAUCUCUGUCGAUAUUAAGCUUAGCGACUUAUCGCGGGAAGUUGCGCCACGUAUCCGCGCCUUCGUCCAUGAUGUCCGGAAAUAUUUUGAUUUCAUGCGAGGCGGAAACCAUGAUGUAUACGUUGCCUGUUUUUAGCUAAUGCUCUUGAAGGCGCCGCGAAAACCUGGCAUGAUGACUGGACAAACGCGCAGUUGCCAAAUACUUCAGAGCAACUUUUGGAGGCACUGUUAAUUCGUUUUGCCCCGCAGAUCCAAACACGCGAACUGGCGGCGCUAGAAAAACUUGCUGCAGGGCAGCAUUAGAUGCGGGCGAGCGAAACGGCAGCCACGUACCAUAGUCGUACCAUAGCCUUUCCGCUGAGUUUUCAGGAGAAUGUGCGACCGACCAGAUGGUAAACCUUUUCAGGAAUAUGCAAAACGUGUGCAGCACACGCUUGGUGUUGAGGCCCGUCAACUUGCUAAAUUUCAUUCUCAAACCCAAACCCGCAUGCUUCUGCAUGCUUCUACCGCUGUGCAGGAUACCACACCCAUCAUCACUGACGAGGGGGACCUCCCGGUGCUGGAGGUCAGGCCUCGGGCUGCUACUGCUGCCGCUUGGCGGAACACAGCUUGCCGGGCCUCCGGUGCUGGUCAGUCGAACCAUGGGUGCAGGGGUCGGGGUGGCAAGCAUAGGGACAAGGGUCGGCCCAGGGCCGCUGCUGGGGGAAUGGGGACGACGGUGCUAGGCAAGCGUGGCAGGAAUCCGAAUCCGGCAGAGUGGAUGACUAAGUUUUACUGCACUCGGGUGGAGUAUGACUACUGCCGGAAAAAUGGCCGUUGCCUCUGCUGUGGGGACGACAAGCCCCUAGUGGCAGAGUGCCCAUGGCAUUCUAGGAACGGGGACAAAUAGGGGGUUGCCCAGGACAGUGUCAGGGAAGUACUCCCAGGGUUACAAACCCGAUUGGUGCCCAUAAUCUGCCCAGUUGGAUGUGCUGUCCCGGCCGUGUUAGACCAAGUUGAGAAGGCUGUUGAAUGGCGUUUUUCGUUUGACACUCGUACUGCUCGUCCUGGUUUUGACGAGCACUGUAAUCUGUUUGCUAUUCCACGGUGUGUAUCCUCUAGCAACUUGGGUGGGCAUACCAUUUGGUUUUCCUCCUCUUUCCAAGAACUUCAGUCUCAACUUGCUCAUUAUCGUAUUUGCAAACAUCAGCGACCUGACACUGCGGCCUGUCUCCUGUUACCAGCACAUCUAUCCCGGAGAGCUGCCUCCUUGCUGAUCGGGAUGAGUCGGGUUCUUCAGUUUCGUGCUGGUAGCAAGCUCUUCAACAGUGUAGACAUGACGGGUCAACUUGUUUCCCUUCCAGGUCUGCCAUAUACUGCUGACGUUUGGCACGGUCCCCCUCUUGUCCUGGGGCACCUUGACAUGGAGCCCCAUGUUUCGGUUCUCUGUGCAAAAGUUGCUGCGUCAACUGGGCCCAGAGUUCCUUUAAUUGGCAUUCAUGUCGCUAGACAUUCUUUAACUGCCAUGGCCGACUCUGGUGCAAGUGAUGACUUCAUUUCUGCGUCCAUCGUUGAGCAGCUCGGACUGAAACCUCAACCGGCAUCGUGGUCAUCUGUCACCCUUGCUGACGGGGGUAAGCAGGUCAUUUUGGGCCAAGUUUCCCUUCGCAUAUCCUUGGGCCCUCUGCACCUAAUUGUCUGUCCGUAUGUGCUGCCUAAGUUUACUGAUGCAGCCACAUUUAUCUUAGGGUCCGCUACCCUUGAUCAGUAUGGGGCUCAUCUGAAUUAUGAGACCCACACCUUGCAGUUGCAGAAGGGAACCUUGUGUUAUAAGGCACCUUUCACCACUGCGGGACGGAUGGGAGAAGGGAAUACUAGUGCUGCGCAUUCUGAACCCUGUGUGAAUUUUGCUGCUGCCGCUAUCUGUAAGCGAAUUGAGCCUGAACCCGUUGGGUGCAAAGCAGCUAUCCAUAUGAUUCACAAGGGGGCGCAUGCAUUGCUAGUAUGGCCUAAAUUGCAACUGAAUACAGCCGUUACCCAGAUCACUGAAAAUGACCCUGCGGUUGAAGCCCUUCUUAACGAAUACUCAGAUAUCUUCCGUGAGGUCCCUGGACUUCCCCCGAUGAGACUGGUAGAUCAUACCAUACCUUUGGCUCCUGGUGUGCAGCCUGUUUCGUGGCCCAUGUAUUGCCUCAGCCCCCUGGAGCUGGAUGAGGUGACACGCCAGGUAGCCAACCUACUGAGGAAAGGUAUGAUUAGACCCAGCACAUCCCCAUACUCUGCUCCCAUUUUAUUUGUGGGUAAGAAAAACGGGACUCUGUGUAUGUGCAUAGACUAUAGGGGUCUAAAUGCGACCACCGUUAAAAAUCGCUAUCCUAUCCCACGGGUCGAUGAUCUACUGGAUAGACUGCAUGGUUCGGCUUUCUUUAGCUCCAUUGACCUACAGCAGGGGUACAAUCAAAUCCGUAUUGCUGAAUCAGAUAUUCCGAAGACUGCAUUUCGUACACCCUAUGGUCAUUACAUGUAUACUGUGCUGAGCUUCAGCUUGACGAACGCUCCUGCCACGUUCCAAGCCCUGAUGGACUGAACCUUUCGGCCCUACAUAGACCGUUUUGUCGUUUGCUACCAAGACGAUAUCCUGGUCUAUUCAAAGACAUGUGAAGAGCACCUGGAGCAUUUGCGGCUGGUCUUUGAAAUUUUGUGGCGUGAGCAACUGUUUGCCAAGCGUUCUAAGUGCCACUGGGCCCAGCCUCGGGUCGAAUACCUUGGUCACAUCGUCUCCAAGGAUGGCAUCUGCAUGGAUCCCCAUAAGACUGCUGCGGUGCGGAACUGGCCUACCCCGACCAAUUUACAAGAACUAAGGAAGUUCUUGGAGCUGAUGAACUACUUCCGUAAGUUCAUCGAACGCUAUGCCAUUAUUGCCGCACCUCUGACAAAUCUGACAUGAAAAGGGGCUUUGGUAUCUCCUGACUGCUGGGGUCCUGACUGCCAGCAAGCGUUCGAUACACUUGAGCGUAUUGUCUCUGAAGACAUCAUUCUGCGUUUCCCGGAUUACUCCCAACCUUUCCGUGUGGAGGUCGUAACUGAUGCAUCCAUGCAUGGUACGGGAGCAGUACUCUGCAAAACGGGAGACCAAUCGCUUUUAUUAGUAAGAAGUUCUCGGGGGCUGAAACCCGUUAUACCACUGGGGAACAAGAACUUCUUGCUGUACUGAACGCGCUUAAGGAGUGGCGGUGUUAUCUGGAGGGUUGGCCGUUCACCCUCAAAACCGACCACAAACCCCUAACGUUUCUGCAAGGCGUGCCUACCCUUAACCGUCGUCAAGCCCGGUGGAUGGAAUACCUUAGCCGGUUUGACUUCACAUGGGAAUACCUGCAAUGCAUCCUUAACGUUGCUGUUGCCUUAAAUCGGCACCCUUGUCUGCAUGCAGCCAUUCUGUAAGUCGUUACACGCAACCGUGCUGCAGCACCCGUUGUGCCCUCUGAACUUAUGCAAUGACUUCGAGCUGCCUAUGCCACGUAUCCCCGGUUUUCCGAUAACCACAAUACUGGCCAUUUAACCUGUAACAGUGGCCUUUGGAUCCGCACUGAGGGUACUUUUCGGCAGGUUGUCGUUCCGAAUGAUGCGUCAUUAAAACCUGUCACGUUUUCAUGAUGACCCGCUGGCUGGGCACCCUGGCUGCACCCAUCUGAUCGAGGUUCUCCGUCGUCAAUUCUGGUGGCCUCGGAUGGCUAAGGAUGCUGAGAACUAUGUCCAGAACUGUGAGCUGUGCCAACGCAAUAAAGUCCUGUCAGGUAAGCUCCACGGCCUCCUGUGCCCCUUGCCUGUGCCGGCCGCCCCUUAGGAAAAUGUUACCAUGGACUUUGUUGUAGCUUUGCCCAAAACUGAGGGGGGAUUCGAUGUCGUUUAGGUCAUGGUAGACCGACUCACGAAAAUGGUGCACCUGGCACCUACGGUAUCAUCCUGCACAGCUGAGCAAACUGCACGUCUGUUCUUUGACAACGUAGUGCGUUUGCAUGGUGUCCCCAAGAACGUUGUGACCGACCGCUGAUCGCAAUUUGCCAGCAGAUUUUGGGGAACCUGGGUGAUCUGUUAGGUAUGCGUGUUAACCUGAGCACCGCCUAUCACCCACAGACCGAUGGACAGACAGAACGUACGAAUAGCACUCUUGGCAAUAUGUUGUGCAAUUAUGCCGGACGUACACCUUCUGUCUGGGACACAUAUCUAACUGCUGCUGAAUUCACGAUUAACAAUGCUGUGAAUCGCGCGACUGGCAAAAGUCAGUUUUUCCUGAAUUACGGAUACAACCCUGCCUUGCCUGUUUGGCGGGAGUUGGAUGUCAACUUGCCUGCAGCAAAGACGUUUGCCAAGUCCUUUGUGUCCCGACUGACUGAUGCUAAAUCUUGCCUUGAAGCUGCACAGCAACGUACGGCGGACUACUUUAACAAAUCCCGACAUGCCAUCUCGCAGGACCAGUUGGUGAUGCUGAGCACUAAGAACCUGAGGUCCUUAGCGGAUGGUUCUCGUAAGCUUUUACCUCGUUGGGUGGGACCAUUUCCUGUCGUUCGCAUGGUUGGGUCUACUGCAGUCGAGCUGCAACUACCGCCUGACAUGCGCAUCCACCCCACAUUCCAUGUCUUUCCGUACUACUGACUCUGCUGAUGCGCUUCAGCCAAAACCUGCUCCUACUGUCACGGAGCCAGGACCAGUUACUUGGCUUUCAGGCAAGCAGACAUUUUACUGGAUUACCAUAAGCACACUGUGCACGAGUAUCUUGUCAAAUGGGCAGGGUAUUUGGCUGAGCACAACAGUUGGGAACCAGAAGCUAACUUUACCCCUGAUCUGAAAUCUCUGCUGGAAGAAGCACGGCAACGAGCACAGGCAAGGUAAGAUUUGCGGGUUAAAGGUAAGCAUUUAGCUCCCCAUUCUGCUCUGCCAGUUUCUUACCAUGCAUCAAGGACGCUGCACUAGAGGGGGGAUAGUUGUUGUAUUCCGCUUCUUAAAUUUGGUCCCAAAUUGAUACAUUUUCUGUCCAGUUUUUCCUUUCUCACUUGGUGCGGUUACUGGACAAGUUCGCUGGAACUAACUGAAUUCCAACUGCCUUGGUGGAAUACCGGGUUUGGCGACUCAGAGAGCGAUUAUCACGAAAAAUAAAAUGUAGCUGAACCAACUGGACUGACUCUGUGCCUGAAAAAUCUAAAGAGGCUAGGUGCAUGUGAAUCCGGCACAUGACGUGACAUGGACUGGUCACCCACUGCCCGAGGGUAGGAGAAGGUAGGCACAGGCUGGUGGUAUACGUGGUAUAUGUGGACGUAAAGGGCCCGAGACGGAUCCCUUCAAAGGGGGGGGAUGUAGUAGUUAGUACACAGUACGGCCCUACAAAUACGCGCGAAGUGUGACCACCAGCAUCUCGAGAGGCCUUUUCAGCGGCCAGCUAUUACAGUCCAUAUGGCAUAUAAUUAUCACUCUUUAGAUUGGAACAAAACAUGAACACAUAGCCAGCAUAUGACCAUUGGGAACAUGACUGCAUUUACACACAAGAGUGGCAAUUCAUGAUGGGUCAUGCAGCAUAAGGAGAAUGACAACGUUUCAUGACCACGACUAUGCCUCAUGACCGGUAGCAUGACCGGUCAUGAGGCAACAUAAUCAGGUCUAUGACCACAUCCAUGACCAAGUCGUUCCCCGAGUAAUUCCACCAAGACGGACACCCCAGCACCACACCACAUCUUAUACCAGACGUGUUGUGGCACACUUGCAUAUUAACCCUCGGAUCUUUCCCCAAUUCUCUGGCACUUUGCCGCUGGGCAAUAUCUUCGCUCUUACUUGGUUAACCAUUGGGCACUUGCCUAUCUCUAAUUGGGCGCUGGCCCAUCUUUAAGCGGGCACUUGCCUGUCUUUAUCACGCGUGAUACUGGAUUAUAGCGCUCUUGCUAUAAUCGUGACACUUGUCACUGGUAGACCCACUUGGGUUAUGAUUGCACCGAUUGGUGAUAACUCGCGUUGACGACUAUAUCUUCAGACCGUACAGACUUCUGUACGGGUCAUCCUAACGCAGAGGCAUUUAGCCUCUUCUCAUUCACUAAUCGGUAGUUUUCACUACCACCUAAACAGUGGAAGUGGAUACAACAAGUGGUAUCGAGACGUUCGGUCUCGACCUGCUCUUCCGCGCCAAUCUCGAUUGUUAGUAAAGGUCAUAGGCUUACAGUGUUGGAGCGCUCGUGGCGGCUCUUCAGGGUAAGUGAAAGAUCGUAAUCAUCUGUAUUGUUUUGUCCUUGGUUGCCUCGCUCAUUGUUGUUGCAGAGGUUAGAACGGGUGUUCUGGACCCGACUGAGGUAGAGCCGCUGCUUCAAGCUCUUCCCCUAUCCGCGGCAGUGACUGCAUCAUUGCUGUAUAAGGGUAGGCCCUUCUUAGUUAGCUAAAAUGCUUAGCACCGCCCCGUUUAAUUUGGGCGGCGACCAUAAUGGUGUAGACAUGGCGUCGGGCGCACCUGAUGCUCGUUCCACUUUGCCUGCCUACGCUGUUGCGGGACUUGUUCCCGAUCCUGGUGCACCUAGUACGUCUAGAGGUUCGAUCGGCGCUACUGAGGUGCCAGUUUCCGUUCGCCAACCUGAUGCGUGAACACCAUUCUCAACUUUUGCCGCAGCACCUUUGUUGCAGUUGCCCACUGGGGCUGCCGAGAAUGUUCGGUUAAGGCCACUUGGUCCUACUGGUGACGAACGUCUCCACUCCUUGCCUUCUUUGGCCCCUUUUGCUCUGCGCCAUCCGCUUAACACUCCCAUGAAUCGUCCGGAUGUUCCAAUGGUGAUACCAGAAACCCCGACGACAGAUGCGGACCACCGUGCUGCGGCUGCGCGUGCGUUAGCGGUGGAAGCUGCUGCUGCUGCUGCUGCGGUAGUCACAGCCGAGCCAGAGCCUUUGCCUGCGGUUCGGCCAAUUUCUUCGGCCGACCUCCCGCGGGUUAGUUUACCGACUCCUGUUUUGCAACUAGAUGCCAAGCUUGAUGUGAAGCAGACUGCUGCUCGAGUAAAGGUGUUUAUUCGCAACGCGUCUUUGUUUUUCGAAAUCGUGCCCUGGGGUAGGGACCAUCGGUCAUGCUGCCUGUUUUUGUCGCAAGCGCUCCGUGGCGUUGCAAAAACGUGGUAUGACGAGUGGUCUCUAUCGCAGCGCGAGCUUACUGCUCAGCUUGUUCUGGAUAACCUGCGCACGCGUUUUGCUCCUCAGGUUAUCUCUGUAGAACAAGAAGCACGAAGUAGGCUUUCUGACAAAUCUUUUGCGAUGCACGCUGGUGAAAGUGUACCAGCUUACCUUUCGCGUCUUGAGGCCGUUUUCCAAGACAUACCCACGAUCACUCCUAGUGAGCGUAUGUUUUGGUAUUUCGAAGGCCUUUCUUCUUCCCUGCAGCCCCAUUGCGCCACAGACGUCUAUGGAAAGCCGUUUGCCUCUUACGACGCCCUGGUACAGCAUGCCUUGGGCCAGGAAGUGCGAGCCCUGUCUGAACGAAAAGUUCGUCCUGCUCUUCGUUCGAAUUCCGUUGCUUUGCAGGAAUUCGACGGGGACCAGCCCCCGUUCAAGAGGGCGCGCGUGGACUCCGGCCCUCGUCCAGCUGCGGCUGUUGCGGGUACCUCCUGGCAGCCGGGACGCGGAAGUGUUCCUGGGUGAAGUAGUCGCGGGGGCAGAACGGGUCCGCGUGGUGGGCGCGGUGACAGGGUUCGCGGCACUGACCACCCUAGCGAAUCCGCCGGUGGAGAGCCCGUCGUUCCGUUGUCUAAAGCUUGCGAGUUGACCAAGUGGGUCAACCAGUUUGGUCGUAAGUUGACGCACGGGGACGUGGGAAUUCUCCGACGGCGCAUGGGCGGUAAGGCCAUCUCAAGAGGUUGCGUGAAGCGGGGCUGUACUAGGAAUUUGCUCAGGGCGGUAUUGAGGGAUAUUCCCUGAGUUUCCUUUUGCGGGGAUUCGUUCUUUGGUCCGCGCGGUUAGACCCGCUACGUUGGCAGAGUUUGAGACGCCGUUUUUCUUUCGACACCGUUGCUGUCAAACCGGGCUUUGACUCGGAAUGUAACAUAACGGUUCCUCGUGGUCGCUCUCUCUGCUCGGUCGACGUUGGUGGUCAUACUGUGCUUUUUGUCCCUGCAUCCCUCACUCAAUUGCAUGUUUUGCUUCGGCACUACCUUGCAUGCAAGCACCGCCGUCCUGAUACCGCGGCCGGCAUUUUGCUACCUUCACAUAUCUCUCGGCGGGCUUCAACGUUGCUAGCAGGUAUGCGCCGAGUGCUUAUGUUUCCUGCGAAGUCCGUCCUUUGCAACGGCCUUUCGCUUGAGGGUAAAACAGUAGAGCUUCCUGGUAUUCCGUAUCCUGCUGAGUUGUGGUACGAUGCACCUUCACCUUGUCUCUCUGUUGCCCGGGAGCCCUUUGCUUCCUCUCUUUGCGCAGUUGCCUCCGGUUCUGUGGACACACGAGUUGCUUUGCCUCUGGUGUCUCUGCGGACUGGUGGCCAAACGUUUUCGGCAUUGGUGGACACAGGCGCUACUCACGACUUUAUUAGUGAGUCCCUUGUUCAACGGCUACACCUCCCGGUCCACUCUUCGGACUGGUCCCACGUUUCGCUCGCUGAUGGAGGUAGGCAAGCUAUCGUGGGUCAGGUGUCGUUUCGCGUGGCAGUCGGGUCUUUGUACCUAACCGUCUCACCAUACGUUUUGCCGUCCUUGACUGAUGCUGCUCCUUUUAUUCUGGGGUCUGAUACUUUGCGUAAGCACUCUGCAUCCCUGGAUUUUCAGAACAAUAUUUUGCGUUUGUCAAAGGGUACUGUUCGGUACUCAAUUCCUUGGCGCGCGUCUUCUAAUGAUUCAGGUGACAGUGGUGCUACCUCGUCGGCGCCCCUUGUUAAUUUUGCGGCUGCGGCCAUGUGUGCGCACGCCACCCCUGAGUCUAUUGGUCGUAAGGCUGCUAUGCGUCUUAUUCGCAAGGGGGCACAUGCUUUGCUGGUUCGUCCUUCAGUUAGCCUUAACGCCACUUCUGUGAUUCCUCCCACUCAGGACCCUGAAGUUUCCGCACUGCUUGAGGAAUACGCUGAUGUUUUCCGGGAGAUCCCGGGUAUUCCUCCAGUUCGUCCAGUGGAUCACACAAUCCCGUUGGUGCCUGACGCCCAACCCGUCGCACGCCCUAUGUACCGACUUAGCCCUCUUGAGCUUGAUGAGGUCAAACGGCAGGUUACUGAGCUGCUUGCUAAAGGAAUGAUUCGUCCGAGUACGUCUCCCUUCUCUGCCCCGAUCUUGUUUGUGGGUAAGAAGGACGGUUCCCUACGCAUGUGCAUAGAUUACCGUGGAUUGAAUUCCAUGACCACUAAGAAUCGGUACCCUCUUCCGCGUGUAGACGAUUUGCUCGAUAAGCUUCGCGGGUCUGCUUACUUUAGCUCUAUAGAUCUGCAGCAGGGAUAUAAUCAGAUUCGCAUUGCUGAGUCUGACAUUCCUAAAACCGCUUUCCGCACUCCUUUCGGUCACUUUGAGUACACGGUUUUGAGCUUCGGCCUUGUUAACGCUCCUGCUACUUUUCAAGCCGUAAUUGACCGUAUGUUCAGGCCGUACAUCGAUAAGUUUGUCGUGUGCUACCUGGACGAUAUCCUCGUCUAUUCCAAAACGAAGGAAGAGCACCUCCAACAUCUUCGUUUGGUGCUCGACGUUUUGCGGCGGGAACAGCUUUACGCCAAGCAGUCCAAGUGCCACUGGGCGAAGUCCGAAGUUGAGUAUCUGGGUCAUGUGGUUUCCGUUGACGGGGUUCGCAUGGACCCUAAGAAGACUGCUGCGGUGCGUGACUGGCCUGUCCCGACGUCCUUGCUUGAGCUGCGAAAGUUCCUAGGGCUUACCAAUUACUUUCGCAAGUUUAUAGCCAAUUACUCGUCUCUCGCCGCGCCGUUGACGAGUCUUACACGCAAGGGUGCGUUUUCUUCCGCUGACGUCUGGACUGCUGAAUGUCAGGCGUCUUUUGAGGCUAUAAAACGUGCCGUUUCGGACGAUAUAGUGCUGCGUUUUCCCGAUUACUCUCAGCCUUUCCGUGUUGAGCUUAUUUCCGACGCCUCGCUGCACGGUACGGGGGCAGUUUUGCUUCAGAACGGUCAUCCUGUCGUGUUUUCCAGCAAGAAGUUUUCUGCUGCCGAACGCGGCUACACCACGGGUGAACAAGAGCUACUAGCCGUUGUUCACACCUUGCGUGAAUGGCGCUGCUGUCUUGAGGGACGCCCGUUCGUUGUCAAAACUGACCACAAGCCUCUAACCUUUCUGCAAGGUGUUCCGACUCUUAACCGCCGCCAGGCGCGGUGGUUAGAAUAUAUGCAGCGUUUUAACUUCACUUGGGAACAUGUGUCCGGUUCCGUUAACGUUGCUGAUGCUUUGAGUCGCCACCCUUCCUUGCACUCUGUCGUCCUGUCGGUUGUGACUCGACGUCAGUCUGCGGCUGCUGAUUUGACGAUUUCUGCUUUUGCCAAACGAAUCGUGGACGGAUACAAAACCGACCCUUGGUUCAACGAUCCCAAUAACGUCGAGCAAUUGACCCGUGUCCAGGGUCUCUGGGUUCGCACUGAUGGUGAUCGACGUCAAACGGUUGUCCCUAAUGAUGAUUUGCUUCGCCGUGAUAUCCUUUACCGUGUGCAUCAGGAUCCACUUUCCGGUCAUGUGGGUUCUACUCGCCUUAUUGAGUUGCUACGUCGCAACUUCUGGUGGCCACGGAUGGCUCGUGAUGCUGCUUCCUUUGUUGAGCAGUGUGACGUUUGCCAACGGCAGAAGCCGAAAUCUGGUAAGCAAUCGGGCUUGCUUCAGCCCUUGCCGAUUCCAGACUCGCCUUGGGAGAGUGUGUCGCUUGACUAUGUCGUCGCACUUCCUCUUUCCGAGGGGGGAUACGACGCUGUCCUCGUCAUUGUUGACCGCUUGAACAAGAUGGUACAUUUGGUACCGACCACCACGACAGUUACCGCGGAGCAAACCGCUCGACUGUUCUUUGAUAACGUGGUGCGUCUGCAUGGUGUUCCCAAACAGAUUAUUUCUGAUAGAGGACCUCAGUUUGGUGCCAAGUUUUGGGGAGCCCUUGGCACUUUGGCUAAUUUCCGAGUAAGCCUUUCUACUGCCUAUCAUCCACAAACUGACGGUCAGACUGAGCGAAUGAAUCGCACUUUGGGUGAUAUGCUGCGAACUUACGCUGGCAACAACCCUCGUGUUUGGGACACCUAUCUUUCGGCUGCAGAAUUCGCGAUGAACAACGCUGUCAAUCGCUCUACGGGACAAUCUCCUUUCUUCUUAAAUUACGGGUUCCACCCAGCUACUCCCGUCUCACGUGAACUUGAUGUUCCGGUCCCGGCAGCCAAAUCCUUUAUUAAGUCGUACGUUGCUCGUAUUGCAGAAGCGAAGCAGUGUCUGGAAAAAGCCAUUACGACUAACUAUUACAACCGUGGCAGAGCCGAAGUUACCUUCAAGGAAGGCGACUUAGUGCUUUUAAGUACGAAAAAUCUGCGGCAGUUAGCCGUCGGACCUCGUAAAUUAUUGCCGCGGUGGGUGGGUCCUUACCCUGUGAAGCGCAUGGUUGGCAAAGCAGCGGCCGAGCUUGUCCUACCGUCUGAUAUGCGCAUCCACCCCACCUUCCACGUAACAUUGUUGCGGCCUUACAAGGCGCCAGCGGAUGCGUUGGAUUCUUCAACUGUUCGCGACAGUUCUUCUGCACUUUCUAGUCCUGCAGGACCGCCGCCGGUUCAGUGGCUGAAGAGCGAUCCACUUUACUCGGUCGAGCGCAUACUGGAUUAUCGUGCCCGCCGCCUAGGAAGACGCCGUAAGGGGCUGGUGCACGAGUACCUCGUCAAAUGGACCGGGUAUUCCAAUGAACAUAAUAGCUGGGAGCCAGAGAAAAACUUUACCGACCUUCGCCCCGAACUUCAAGCAGUUAAGGCUCGUGCCACUAAAGCUGCGAGGAUGCUGCGUCCUGAGGGGGGAUAGUUGUUGUGGCACACUUGCAUAUUAACCCUCGGAUCUUUCCCCAAUUCUCUGGCACUUUGCCGCUGGGCAAUAUCUUCGCUCUUACUUGGUUAACCAUUGGGCACUUGCCUAUCUCUAAUUGGGCGCUGGCCCAUCUUUAAGCGGGCACUUGCCUGUCUUUAUCACGCGUGAUACUGCAUUAUAGCGCUCUUGCUAUAAUCGUGACACUUGUCACUGGUAGACCCACUUGGGUUACGAUUGCACCGAUUGGUGAUAAUUCGCGUUGACGACUAUAUCUUCGGACCGUACAGACUUCUGUACGGGUCGUCCUAACGCAGAGGCAUUUAGCCUCUUCUCAUUCACUAAUCGGUAGUUUUCACUACCACCUAAACAGUGGAAGUGGAUACAACAAGACGUUACCUAUCACACAUAUUGUGCAUAUAUUAUACAAGCAUAUAUUUGAAACUACUAAUAGGUAUAAACGGUGAACACUGCCUGUACGGCAGUGUUUGGCAUAAUAAGUAGAUUUUGCCUCAUUUCUGCCUCAUUGCCUGAACCAAUUGAAUAUUAAAUAUGGGGGCCCUGGUGAAGCAGCUGACCGCGUUAUAGAUGUGGAAGGUGCCGAAGUACGUCGGUGAAACAUAAUGUGGCAGGACUGGAGAGAAUAGUGCAGCAGUCUAUUGUGAGUGUAGUUGAAGCGUUACAAGGCGUAAUUUACGUGCAUACCUUUCACGUCACGUUGCAAGCUAAGCAACGCGUAUACAUGACGUGUAGCAUCAGUCCUCAGUUCACUUCUUGUAACGAACAUCAGCAUAGGUCCAAGCCCUCUCGCUUGGAGGGAUAUGCAAACAAACAUCAUGAUAGGUGAUCUCGCACGCUACCGAGCAUUCAACCGAGCACGCUACGAGCAGUCCUUGUAAGGAGCAGCAUACCACUCACGGCCGUAUACGCAGCAAAAAGCGGCCAUCAGCAGCGUCCAUGUCACCGACAUGGCUCUGAACGACUUUUCUGUUUUUAUGUUUAAUUAAGUUUGUGUAUGUUAUAUUUUGUGCCAGUUUGUAGUUUGACUAUACUCUGAACAAGGUGCUGAAUGCGUUGCGCUACCAAAAGCGUGUCUCUUUGCUUGCACAAAAAUGCCGCUUCGCCAAACGCUUCCUCUUCCCUCGGCCGUUUCAUGCGCCCAGUCUUGCAAGCUACAUUGUUUGCUUUCGGUGCUUUCAGUUCCGGCAAAGCAGCCACCAAAAUGUCCGGCCUGCAUACCGCGUGCGUCUGUGGCCAACAUGCCCUCCUGCACAACGCGCUGGCACACGGCGGCCUUUCGCCAAAAAAAAUGACAUACACUUGUACACGCGCAUUUUGAGAAUCGCACGCGCGCCUUCGCGCGGUAAAAUUUGCUCAUUGCUUUUUGGGCGUCUUGUACGGAUGUUUUAUUCGGCACAGUAAGACCGGACACAAUUGUGCAGGGAACGAGCCGAAACUUGACCAGGUCUGCGGAAACUUUUCGUAAUCGGGAGGCCCUUUGCGGAAAGGCUGCGGAAACCGCGGAAAGCUGCGAAAACUAUAAAAUGAAUAUGUAACAAUGUUUUUUAGCUCUUCUCAGUGUGGCGAUAACUUGGACAGUCUGACACAAGCUUGUGGCAGUGCGGUUCUGUCCGGUGGGAUCUAGAAUCUGGUGGAUUCCAAUCGUGCUCGAAGGUAGAGCCAUCUAAACGUAUUACUGGGGGUGGCGGGGGCCAAGCGAUCAACUAUUGUGUGCCCACACCCUUGACGGUGUUCACCCUGCCCCCUUCAAGCAGCCCGCCUCUCUUUGAACCCUGAGACCCCAGGCCUGAGCAGCCCUAUCGUAUACCACCCCCAUAGUGUUGUUGGCUGACGGAUUGCUCUGGGAUGCUCAGAAAUUGCCACUCGUAUGUUACAUGGGGUAAGGGCCCGGGGAGCCCUGAAACACUGAAUAAUAAUCGUCUCCCUGUCCGUUGCGGAGCAGUGACAUGUCUGCAUGCCUACUCCGCAUACCCGUCCGGCAUGUCUGCAUGCCUCACGGACAAGUCUAUGCUGACUGUGCAUUAAUCCAGUAAUCGUCCAAACAAUAUGAAUUCAAAAUAAAAAAAAUAAAAAGGAAUAAAAAAAGCGAGAGGGCUAAAGUAUCUAAAAAUGGCACCGCACAACGAUAACUGCAACGACGUGGCUCUGUUCAACUUCAACCACGUUUACGGACAUUGUGGAAUCAAUUAUCAAAAACCCUUCUUCUGAGCAGAAACACAGUCAAUCUCUAUGACUUCGGCAGCCCCCAGGUCGGGGUCAGUGGUUGCUGACAUUUGACUUAAUCUAAUAACUCCAUAGUGUAAAACGCAGUCUUUAAAUGGCAAACGCAUGCCUGGAAUCUGUUUUUCAAUUUCCGCCGUACAGCAAACGCGGAAAUGCGGAUUCUCUUUCCGCAUUUCCGCCAAUCUGGGCUUCGCUGCGGAAAGCGUGACGAAACCUGUUUACGCAGGUUUCCGUUUCCGCAGGUUUCCGUUUCGGCUCGUUCCCUGCAAUUGUGCGAGGGGCUGCUUAACUAGGGUUGGCACGGGUACUAUACUAGAAAAUAGUGCUUUAUGAGAAUACUAGGAAUAGUACUAUAUACUAUGCGGGGCUUGACAGUGGCACUAGUUUACGAUGCUCGUCCCCGUGUCCGUUCAUAGUAAACUAGCUUAGUAAAAAUAGUACUAUGUAUUACUAGAUAUGAGCUUGGAUAUUGUCAAGUAUUAAUUGGACCAAGUAGAGAUCUGCGGUCAAGCUGUAGUUUGAAGGGCCAUACUCGUGCCUAGGAACCUCGAUGAAUGGUUUGUGAUGAAUAAUGUCGAGGGAUUCUAGUAUAAAGAAUGGCAAGGCGCUCAGAGGUUUGCAGCCUGGCGCCGACGUCCCCCCUGACGUCCACCGCGCCGGCACGAGAUGUUUAAGAAGCUAAAGACGCAGAAGAUUAAUAUUAGGGUGGGUGGUCUUUGGGACAACUUCGAUGUGGAAUAGUGGGCUAGUUUGCCACAGCUAGUCUGCUUGCACUGCGAUGAGCUGCUCAGCCCCGCAAACCCGUCAUUCACUGUUGUAUCACGUCUUAUCGCAGGAAAAGAACCGAUCGGCAGAUGCUAGAUCCCGUGAUACCCAGGAUACUACAUUCACCAGCACGCACCACAUCGAGGUGGUUGCAAGGCCCUCAAGCAGCGCGCUAUACUAUUUGGGUUUUCCAAUAUAGUGUUUUUGCCAACCCUCAUUGAGGUGAAUUUUACCACAGGUAAUAGGCAGAUAAUAUUAUUAACUGCCUAUCAUAAUCGCCCGUGAGUCAACGCGGCAUUGCAGCAUGUAUGACCGGUCCUCACAUAACCAACCCACCAACUCAGUGCAUGAUUCUUGGUCUACGAGGGGAGUUGUAACAUAUUUGGGGGGCGUCUGGUGGGGGCGGAGCACCCCCCAGCGCCUCACAAUUAAGGAACAAAUUAAAUCCAACCCUAGCAACUUUGUUUCUUAGGUUGGAAUACAUUGAGACCCGUCCUAAACGAAAAAAAAACUGGGUCCAUCCGGUAAUCUUACUGGCCCAAUAACCGAGGUAUGGUGAUCUCGGCAAUCAUGUUCAGGAUGGCAUGGCAUGUGAGGGGCUAGUAAGCAUCCGAGCGACAUGCAAGGGUAUGGUGGGAGUGAUGAGCUGGUCAUACAAAGGAAAUUGCGCAGGAUUGCUUGCAUGUGUGCAGACGCAAGCGUGUUCCCAGGCAUACUUGGUUUAUAGACCUAUGGUAUACAUGGAAUGGUCUAUAGAUCAUGACUUGAUACAAUGUGGGUUGAGCACCCACUGCUGCCCGAGAAUAUAGGAGAUGGCAAGUACAGGGCCGGUGAUGCGGAUCCCUUCAAAAAGGGGAGGAAUGUAGUAGCUGCACACAAUACGGCACACAGAUCAACUGUAAAUAUGCGCAGAGGCGCCCCACCAGCAUAUAUGGCCCUUUCAGUGGCUAGCUAUGAUACGCUGACAGCAGGAGAGCGAGUUGCAGGUUGAUGACACAUAGCAAGAUGGGUGUUAUGAUGACAGGCAGACGUUCCAACUUCACAACGUACCAGACGCAGGUUCCACACGUCUUGCGGCACCAGUAGUCCACUACCGACUGGUCGCUGGCGAAGUACCCAGGGCUACAGUAGCCGCUAGAUUUCCAGAAGGAGCAGGAGCUCGCCAGUGGCUCCUGAUCAGCGCAGCUGUGGAUGUACAUGUGCACGUGUGUGUUGCACCGCGGUCACACGCGUGCAAUGUAUGUUAGUCCAUAAACAACCACAUUGAAAGCAGCAAAUAAAACAAGCGAAGCAGUGGUAGGUAUUGAAACCCCAAGUAGCCCCGACUGCAGAAGUAAUGGUGAUAAGCCCACACACACUGCCGGUGCUAACGACAUGAAAGCUAGCGCAAACACAACGACAUCUUUGCUUGUCAUGCUUCAAGCCCCCCACAUAUGCACACUUCGCAUGCAGGCAUGGAUACACACAGAAAACGGUGAAGGCGCUAGCAUUGCAAUCAUGUACAUGAUGUGCUGGACCUGGUCCAUCAUGGACAGUUCCUGCGAUCUGGGCUAGAGGACACAUGCACCCAUACAGCUAAAUUAACUCGAUGGUUCGUCGGUGCGUUUGUGCCUACAUUGAGGGGGGUGAUGGAGACACCAAGGGUCGCGGAGGCGGUCGUGGUGAUGGCUGCGGUGGUGGCCGUCGUGGUGGUGGUGGUGAUGGUCGUGGUGACGGUGGUGGUCGCCAUGGCGGGGGCGGGGGAGUUGCUUGUACUGGUCUUGGAAAUGGCCUAGGUGAUGGUGGCUUGGGAGGAGGUGGCUUGGGAGAAGGUGGCUUGGAAGAAGGUGGCUUGGGAGAAGGUGGCUUGGGUGGCCUGGGUGAAGGCCGCCGCUGAGGCGCCUGCAGAGGCGGAGUUGUGGCCCGCAAGCGACGUGUAGAGCCCGCAAGCAUGUGAGUGCUCAGCUGACGAAGUCCCUCAGCGCGAUGGCCACUAUCAGCGACAUCAGCAGCCUGUAGGUAUGCGGCGGAGGGUCAUCGCGUAAGCAAUUGCAAGGCCUUCGGCGCCUCAGAAAAGAAAUUUUAUGACGAAACGUUUUCUCCUCAACUCGUAUUCUGUAUAUGCAUGGUCCUCCCUGUCUAUAUAAAAAUAUAUAAUGCGCACCUUGGUUAUUACAGGGCUGCUGCUAACGGAUGCCGCAAGGGCCCCGCCGAUCAGCAGCAGAACGAGCGGCGACAUAACAGCUGAACACAACUGAGGGGGUGUUUCCACUUGGGUUAAAAGUCGCGGAUUAACGAUUAAUCCGUCGCAUAUGGAAACACCUCGCGGAUAAGGACGGAUUAGGCGGAUUAAGGUUAUGGAUUAGUUAGAGAUGUACGCCCGUAUUCACGCACUUCGUGGAUUAAAUAUAGAUUAAUAUGUUAUGAAAUGCGCGCAUUCUUCCUAUGAUAAAAGCUCAAACUUGGUGGGAAAAAAUUGCUACCCGGGCCCCUCCAGGACCUGGUAUCAAAUUGACAAUCUGGUAUUAGUUGUUGCUCCAAGAGAGAUUGCCAUUGCCAUUUUUGUUACAGGGAUGCUGUGCCAAGGAGGCCUAAGCUCAAGUGGACCCCGCCCGGCCGUCAGGGCGAUGGAUUCAGGGUGAUGACCUGGAUCCACUUCGCCUUGCACUUUUUGAUACAGGGCGAUGGAUGACGUACAACAAAGGUCACACUUGGCAAGAGAACAUAAGCCUGCCAACUGAGAACAAUUCAGUAUUCCUUUAAUGAAUAAAAGGAACAGAAUGUUGCCAAAACAAUCAGUGUUGGAAAACAUAGGUGGCGCCGCAAUGCUCACCCUCUGAUCUACAUAAAGCCUUGAGGAAUCAUAAGACAUGAUUGGAUGGCGUACCAGUAACUUUAGUACUCAGUCCAUUGCUGGCACAGCAAGCUGACGCAUGGAUGCGCGGGAAGCCCAUGACCCAAUCUCUUGCCGUUUCGGACAUAGGGACCGUAUAGGCUUAAUGCCAGCGUCACGCUUUCAAAGAAGCGGACGUGGAUAGCGAAGGGUCCCUAUGCGCGGCAUCCUUUGAUAGCGAGACGAGCACGCUCGCUAGUAGCGUGCGUCCUUUUACAGACGUGACGUAUCGCGUGCGUCUUUUUAUGCGUUCGUGAUAAGACGCGAAUACAUGUUGCAGUCAAUAUUCAUCAUGUCCCAUUGCAGAAGCUAGCUGCAUGUGGGAAACUCCGAUUCUGCGUUCGUGGGUUAGCUCACCGGUAACACCAGACAUGCAUAUCUACCAGAACUCACGACGCAUGGUAGAAUCAUUUACUGAUGGCCCUGAAACGUGUAGUUAGAUCAUGAGGAUCAUUAAUCUAGGAGAGGGUCCUAUCUCCAUCGCUAAAAUUCUCUUCAGACCACGCAAAAUGACAAGGACACGAAAACUAACCCACGAGCAAAGUUCAGCAGCAAACGAGGAUGGUAUAUCGAAUCGAUGAUCCACUCGUUGGCCUCGUCAGGGUUGGGUUAGAAGCUCGCGCAACCCCGAUGGCCAGGUAAAGGACCUCUACUAAACACCACCAAAACUGAACAAUAUCUUACCAACAUUCAUACAACGAACGUUAUCGACCUAUGUUUCGCAUCCCUUAUGCCAUGCAAGGGCGCCCAUGUGCAUGACUCCCACUCCAUUCUUAUAAAAGCCUCUUCGUGUAAAGCCGCACCCCUUGCUUACAACAAGCAAAUCAACGGUUUGUUCCAGCAUUCUUGAUUGAAUUUAAGCCUAUACGGUCCCUAUGUCCGAAACGGCAAGAGAUUGGGUCAUGGGCUUCCCGCGCAUCCAUGCGUCAGCUUGCUGUGCCAGCAAUGGACUGAGUACUAAAGUUACUGGUACGCCAUCCAAUCAUGUCUUAUGAUUCCUCAAGGCUUUAUGUAGAUCAGAGGGUGAGCAUUGCGGCGCCACCUAUGUUUUCCAACACUGAUUGUUUUGGCAGCAUUCUGUUCCUUUUAUUCAUUAAAGGAAUACUGAAUUGUUCUCAGUUGGCAGGCUUAUGUUCUCUUGCCAAGUGUGACCUUUGUUGUACGUCAUCCAUCGCCCUGUAUCAAAAAGUGCAAGGCGAAGUGGAUCCAGGUCAUCGCCCUGAAUCCAUCGCCCUGACGGCCGGGCGGGCAAGUGGACGGCCUUACGAAACCAAAGAAAAAAUACCCAUGAGCAACGACGCGGGCGACGCAGACAGGGACUGGCGGGCGGGAGCGCGCUGAACAACAAAAAUAAGAUGAGGAACAGAAUCCAAGUGCGUUACUUAUACGGCCCUGAGGACACGGGCCGUGGCGAAGCAACCGAAAUGCUUGCAUCGCCCAAGGGCCUUACGCCAACUAACCUGGCUUCUGGCUUCCGCAACGCAAGCCCGCAUUAACAUUUUUUACGACGUCUCGUAAAGCCUGAUUAAUGCACUAGAAGAUUAUCUCUUAUUUACAUUGUAGGUGUGCCUAGCAUCCUGAAAGCUGAAAGCUUCCUUGCCGCUAUUAUGAACACCACCGCGUGCGUCGCGGAGCCAAUGGUACCGUCCUACUGACACAUGCUCAACAUUCUGCAAGGCCUUUGGCCAAGCGCAACGCUGGCUUUGACCCGCAAGGGGUCCGUAGCAGUGCAGCCGGCAAUGGCCGCCAACAACAGUCUGUUGCGGUCUUCGCCCUUCAUUCUUAUAGUCUAUGGUUCUAAAUAGUCUAUAAUAUCUUAAACGAUACUCUCUUUUACGUUUAAUGCACCAAUAAUAAGCACCGGUAACUGUCGUGCUUAAUCCGUAUCUUAAUCCAUACGCGUAUGAAACACUCCGAGGGAUUAGCGGUGGAUUGGUGCGGAUUAAGAAAAGCUUAAUCCGCGAAUUUUAAUCCAAGUGGAAACACAGCCUGAUGCCCAACACUUGUGCACUAAAAUGUUAGGCUGAAAGUGUGCUUUAAGUGUGAUCCUACCGCGGGGAUGCCGAUUGUUACAGUGGACCCCGAACGGUCGAGUUCCCCGAACGGGAAUCCGCUCCCGGAAAGGCAGGGCACGGACGAGCACGUAUGUGGCAGGAAUUCACACUUUUCGAUAGAAAGGGAAGAACGACAUUAUGAGGCCUAUGAAUAGCAUGAUGAAACUCAUUGAAACGCUGAGUGGAUAUAUUCUAUGUUAGGAAAACGGGUAUCGGAAGAGGCAGAGAUUCGACAGUGCCUAGGUUGGCAAAGAGGGUCUUUCCAUUGGCUGGUCGUAAAUUUUCGUAAAUUUUCCUUAAGGCGACAUGACUUCCGAGAAUGUGCAAAAAACAAGCGUAGGUGGUGAGAAAGUUAGAGUCCUUGAUACCCACUCUGUAACAUCCUGAAAACUGACCACACUACUACUCUACGAACUACCUCAGGUAGUCUACCUGGCAAACCCCAAGCCACGCAAUGCUGUGUCGGCCCCCGCUCAGGCAGCCCGCACCAGAACGUUGUUCCAGUCCGAGGCCGCCCUUAUCCGUGUCAGGCAGGCGGGGCAAGGUGUCAAGGCGGGAGCUUGUCUGGCGGGGCUAUGUCUCGCUCAUAGCAGCACCUCACCAGAUCACCACCCCAUCAUGCACACUACCACUGCAAGACCACCCGCGCCUACGAUGGCUUCGGUUCCCGGGCUUACCCUUCCCCACACGAGCGAGCUGGGCAACCAGGUCGUCAUACCCCCGUCCAUCCCUAGCUAUUAGUUAUAGUGUUGUCUGUGUGUCUGUGUGUCUCUGUGUAAUCAGUGCAGUGCAGAACAGUCAUGCAUGGGACGCAAAUACUUUACAUGCAAGGUUCUGCAUCUGGGACAUUUCAUUAGUCGACCACCACACCACGCACUGGCUACACACCGUGCCAGCUAAGUGCAUGGCUGCAUGAUAAGAAGUAUUGACCUGACCGAACGCAGAACUAACCUGCAAAGGAUAUUGCCUCUAUCGCGGUUAACCACGCAAAAUUGCAAUGCCUUGCGUAAUCUCCUAGACACGACUGAGGAUGAUGAGCCAUGGAUGUGAAAAACCGCAAACCGGGCAAGGGACCGCUCCAUCACAGGAUCAGCUGGCUCCCGUACAUACGGAGCAUGUUUACGAUCGACCUAUUGGCAUAAAUCGACCUAGUGGCAUAAAUGGCCGUACAGCGGUAUAAUAUAGAAUUAAGCACAUACAAGUAGUUCCUCGCUUGGUUGCACAUCCGCUUUUUUCCCAGAUGGUGCUCAACCAUAUGACUACUCCUAGGCCGGACACAUCGGCCGUACCUAAGCUGCAAUACAUCACGAGUCAAAGAAGAAAUGGCCCCUGGACACCUCGAUUAGGGCGGCAAUAGUAAUACUAAUUUAUAGGAGUACAUCGGCCCGAGCAUGGUGUGUAUGAGUUGAGGUAGCUUCAUGUCUCUUCAUGCUAAGGGGGAAAUAAACGUGGGCUGCAUUUCUACGCCUGCAGUCCACACUGUACCAUGCCCCGGCGGACACAUGCAUCAUUAGGAGAACUCGCAUAUGGGUGCGGGGCCAGGGGACGCACUCCCCACUUGCAUGCAACGUUGACACAGGAGAGGCACUUGGUUAUGUGCACUCUGGUUGGCCAGCCAGCACCAUUGGCCAGUAUGGAGUCAUACAAUUGACUCCUACGACAUGCGCUUGCUAGCUCGGGUCGCGCUGUACACAUGCACAUGCACUAUGGAGUAGCGGUGGCUUGGGAACGAUUGGAACCUAUAUUUAAGCAAACAACUGCCAUACAUACAGAGACGGCCUUGGGUGUAAUUAAUGGCAUGCACAGCACAAUACAUAUGAUGCCGGUAUAUGGAACUACAUACCGUGCAUGUGGCUGGCAUAAUAUAUAAAUUCGCUGGAUCCCUGGAGCCUUUUGCAAACACGUCCAGAAACCAAUCCAACCAGGAAAUGCGAAAACUCGAUCUGCACCAAAGAACGUGUGUAUCUAAGCACGAAGGUGCGGGGCACCUAUCAAUCUGCGUGGAAUGUGCAUGUACACGCACAUAGUGGAGAUGGAACAGAAUGCCUGGCUGGCGUGUUUUUAGGUGGAUGAAGUAGUGGUGGGGCAUGUGCAUGUAUUACCGUGGGUUUGCGUUCCGUGUUUGUUACUAAGCAACGGACGUAAUGACCACCUGUCCAUCGCUGUCACUGCCGGUGGGCAGCACGUCGUCAACAGAAGCGACGUCCACUUCAAGUGAUCGGCGGGCAGAGACGGGGGGAAGGACGUUCGCCAGAAAGUUGCUAUCUCCAAUAAUAUUUCCCGGUGGUGCAUACCGGCAACUAACCACGUAACAGUUCGUGCCCCGCACUGCACCACAGCCAACUUGCGCUGUCGAAGCCCACACAACUUGAGUGAAGUGCCCAAUACUCGAGAAUGUAUUGUCAGUGUACGGUGUGCUCGUGAACUUGUACAGCGAAAUUUCGCCGUACCAUGCGUCCACUGCCCUACUGCAAUUGAGGGGAGAUGUCUGGCUUGAGGUCGACGCCAUGUACAAAUUCUCGCCGGCGACUCCUUCGUGAUACAAACCGCAGCUGUUGUUUAGCGCCAGGUUGGCGGCCCAGUUCUGCGUUCGGACGGGUGCAUGGGGAAGGGUACUUGGUGCAGGCCGUGCCGCAGAAGGAGGCCAGGUGACAAACGGAAAGUAAGCUACACGAGGACGGCACGUGCUGUGAACCGCAAACGGCCGCAGCGGCAUACGUGCGUACGAUGUGGAGCUGCAUGCGAUGCUGUCACGAUACGGUUCCCAUGUCUGGGUUCCUCCCAUGCAUCUGUCUAUCUUGCAGGUGUAUUCAACCUAUUGCUACAGCAAUAAUCCGUGGACACAAACACGGAUUUUCAAUCUAGCUGCUAAACACGCUCAUUCAUUGUUGUCUCUUCGUACUGCUCCCAAAACACGCCUGGCUCACAUGCCGGCAGGUGGCAGCUAGGAUUCUUGCAUGACAGGGGUCCGCCCCAUCGCGGGGCAUUCCCCAGCCCCACCUCCCCUAACCGACCGGGAGAUCCCCACCUCGGGGCCCCCGCGAUGUAAACCCCUUCAGGUCCCCUUUUCGUAAGUUGCUCGCUGAUGUGAUGCUUUUCCCCCCACCGCGCGUCGAUAUUCACAAGCAGCAGCUGCUGCACCACGAGAACCACAACCACUACACACGUACUUGUGCGAGCGUACUAACCUUUGCUUGCUGUGCGAGGGUGUUGUUCCAGCCCAGGGCCGGCGACCCGUGCCGUGUACGGUACUGGUUGUGCAGCAGCAGGCUGGCGGCAGGGUCGGCACAGCCUGCAUCGGCGGCAGCAGUGGCGACGCCAACAUUACAGCAGACGACAACAGUGGGGGAGGUUAAGUAGCAAGAACGACAAAAGACAUGUAUUACCGCCGUUGUUCGCGGGGGCAGCACAGGUGGUCCGGUCGGGUCCGGGAUACAGCGUAUGUAACAUUCCCAUUCAUUCAGCUAGUGACAGGCGCAUGAGUAGUUGGUGGUGGCUGCAGACCGCCAUGGCUUCAGGAGAGCCAGUUUAGUUGGGUGGUGAGGACGUAAUAUUGGCGGUUCGUCCGCAAAUCGCCCUUGGCACUAUGUGUAAACCAGUUACGAGUGUAGAAAUAACCAUCUCUGUAUGUGUGCGGGUGUGUGUACAUGCAUGCAUGCAUGCACGUGUGUGUAUGCGUAUGCAUCUAUGUCUGUAUACGGCUGCCAAAAGCGUCUGUUGAAUGAUGAUGAAGGGCGGGCUAUCUGAGCAGCUGCUGCACGGCUAUGAACGUAGCUGCAAGAAUGCAUGUGCUGAUGGGUAUAUAAAUACCGAUAUAUGGAUGGACAUGCACGGUGCAGUGAUUUUUUUUCGUUUAGGACGGGUCUCAAUUUAUUCCAACCUAAGUAACAGAGCUGCUAGGGUUGUCGUUAUUUAUUUCUAAAUUGUUAGGCGCUGGGGGGGGCCCAGACCCCCCCCCAGACCCCCCCCCUAACUUACAACUCCACUGAGUAGGCGUGUUUUCGCUCGUGUGUGCACUCUUCGUGCACAUGCGUAGAUAGUUCUGGCACUUGACCUUCAUACGGCCCCUCAUAUGUAUUCUAUGAUUGAAAAUACUAUCGUUCUGCACCCUAAGAGCAAUCUGGCAGCAAUGGACGUUUUUGGCUGGAGGAAUGAAAAUGUAAGGGUCGGCCUCAAUUCAUUCCUUUUUUCCCAAAGGCCAAAAUGCCUGUUUAUUCCUUUUAAGUAAUAUAUCAUUUAAAAAAACGCUGCAUGCAUACGCCCACCACACAAGUGCACGUGCACGCAUGAGCAUCCUGUUGGGAGUAGGAGCCGCAGUGCGUGAGUGUAACUUGUGUGUGUGUGUGUGUGUGUGUGUGUGUGUGUGUGUGUGUGUGUGUGUGUGUGUGUGUGUGUGUGUGUGUGUGUGUGUGUGUGUGUGUGUGUGUGUGUGCGUGUGUGUUACAUGGUUGGGGGGUGCGUGACCCCAUACCUGUAAAACUACCAUGCGAGCCGAAGGCCCAAGGGCAAGGCAUUGUAAACGCCUAAAAGCCCCGAAGAAAGGGAAACACCGCACUCUCAGCCCAGACUAGCGAGCAAAGGGGAUCACUGAGUGUAACUUGUGACGAUCGUAUACAAUCAGUUGCGCAGCACAGCGGUCCCUAGCUAGCUCACCGCCGAUUAGGGCAUCUCCGGGAAGGGGCGGUGGAAAUGGUGCAUUAGGAGGCCUGCAGCAGCAGCAGCAACCAAAGGAGCAACAACAGCGUUCGUCCGCGUUUCGUUCAGCCUCGGCGGGUCUGACAUGAAAAGCAGGCAUGUCUUCCUCUUAUCAUGUUGCCAGUAUACGGCAUACACCAGCCAAGCAGGAAGCAUGGACCCCCAUUCCUGAGGAACGUGUAAAAACUUCUACAAGUGCAUAUCCGGAAACACGCAGCAAGCAGGCAACAGGCAAGAUGGAGGAAGCCGGAAAGGUGGCAGCAAGGUUGUAAGUUAGCGUGCAUGCAUGCAGCUGGUGUGACGCAUGCAAUCGAUGCAUGUACAGAAACAUACGUACGCGGUGCAGACUCCACACGACUGGCGGCACCAGUAGUCACGGACGGACAAGCCGCCAGAGGUGUACAUGGGAUCACAAUAGCCGUUGUUUUUCCAGUCCGCGCAGUACGACAACUGGUCGACGCAUCUGAGAUGCAUGGGACAGCCGGCAGCCACGGAUCAUCAAGAACGGGGAUGGUCUGUUAAUCAUUUCGCACCACAACUAGCAAGCACCGGACGGAAGCUAGGAAGCUUCCUUGCUGCCUUAAGGCAGAUGACAUUCGGGCACACCCACCCGUCAGGACAGUCAGGCAGCAGGCAGCCAGCGACAAUAUUACCAUUAUUGCAGGAGGUGCUGGAGAACCAUGUACGUGGGAAUAUUAUGCCGAUGGACUUAUACGAACAUGCUUGCCCAGCAGCUGUCUGGCGCCAGCAAGCCACACACCCAUGCGCACAUACCCAGCAGCAGUAUCAUAGUUGAGCGGCCACCAGGCAAUUUACCGCUACCCGCUACCAUAACAUUAUGGCUUACAACGACAGACAUACAUAGCUUGUUUGUCCUAGCUUUCGAGGAACGCUCUGGCUGCGUGUGCGUGGUGGUGCAUGUAAAGUUACACAGCCCAGCAUGGAAGUGCACCGCCCAGCAUGGAUACCUAUAACCUCUCCACCCCUGCCCCCUUGAUAUACCCCGCAAUCCAAGCUCUUUAUCAUUAUUAUAUGUAGCGGUUCGGAACUUGGCCAUCAGCCACCCACGCACUCUGCCCACCCAAGCACUUACGGUGAUGGUGGUGGCCGCGGCGGCGGUGGUGGCGGUGAUGAGAGCGGUGGCCUAGCGACCGACGGAGAUUCGUUCCGUCCGUGAUGUAAAAUAUCACGCACAAGCGAGCGCGAUACAGCGAGGGCACGGGUGAUGAUGUACGUUGCCAGCGAUUUAUAUUGUUGUUGCGCGACAGCAUCAUGGUGGCGUCGGGCCAGAAGGCGCGGCCGUGUGGGGGGCGGGCGGGAUAAUACGAAGCAUAAUCUAAGCAAAUCAGCCAAGCAAGUAGAAAAGAUGGAAGCAUGCGACGGAUGAGCAGGGUUCGGAGCCUUCCGUGCCGAUGUGAAUCAGCGAACGUAUGCAUGCCAAAUGUUCAAAUGAAGCAAAGCAGCAGGCAGGCGCGCACAUGAAGGCCACAUGAAGGCCACAUGGCUAUAUGGCUAUAUGGACAGGGUGGGAAGGCGGCGGGAUAAAGCCAACCUUGCGGAGGGCAUGUUCGAAGCCUGUUUGAAGGAUAGCGCAGUCCAGCUGCAGAUUUUAUUCAUGAGGCAGGUAGUGGGGACGGCACGGCCAUCCCACAGGCUGUUGUAUGCGGAGCUGGCUGAAUUCCCCUUACAAUAUUACAUGGUGAAGCAGAUCCUCCGUUUCUGGAACCGCCUUCAAAAGCAAGUGGGAUCCAUUUCUCAUGCAGUUUUACGGCAGGAGAUAACCGAUGCCCUGACCAACCCGGAAUGGGAGGGUUGGGGAAUCUCAAUGUUACGACUGUUUUCCUUCUUGGAGUGCAACGUUUGGAGUGGAAUACCGCAAGAAGUCGUGGGGGUAAAGGAGCGUGUUGGCUGGUUGUUGAGUAGACCUCUACCCGAAGGAGCGAUGAUAACUGCACUAAGAGAGCGUUUGAUGAGCGGCUGGGACCAUACGCGUCUGACUGUCUUGCCAGAGGAGUACCCAUCAGAUGGGAAGCAACCGGGAAUGCAAAUGGCGAAGUAUAAGCACUGGAUGGGGCUGCCCUUUUCGGGAGCCGCAGCCGUCAUGUGGCCAACACAUGCUAAGGUUUUCAUUUCUCGUUUAGCACAUCGUAAGCUAAUGCAGUUUCGUUUAUGUUGCUGGGCUUUGGAGGCAAACAGAGCACGAAGGGGCAAGUACCAUGUCCCCAGGGGGCAGCGGUUUUGCCACUGUUGUGGUACUAAUAGCCGAAUCGAGGAUGAAAAACACGUGUUAUUGGAAUGCCCAGCCUAUAAUGAUAUUCGUGCUGAUGAGGGAUUCGAUCAUCAACAGAGCAUGUUGGAGGCCAUGAAAUGGGAACCCGCACGUCUUGCGAGGAUGUUGGAACGUAUGUGGGCUCACCGAAACUCAAUUACCCCCUUUGGACGCUAGCCUGGGCUGAUGUGCGGUGUUUUCCUUUCCUCCGUGGCUUUUAGGCGUUGUAGUAUUGCCCUUGGGCCUUCGGCUCGUACGGGUAGUCUUACAGGUAUGGGGUCACGCACCCCCAACCAUGUAACACACACACACACACACAAGGCUAUCUACCGUAUCGCUAUGGCCGAUUGGUGAUUUCUGGAUUGGUGAAAGUAAAAAACGCUUCUAGAAUUAAUCCUUCCAACACCGGAAUUGGUGAUACGGUUUGGUGUUACCCCGUCCACUUUUUCCCAUUGCCACCGAAUUGGUGAAAGCCGCCAACCGGACUGCCCCCCGUUCACUGUGGGCCCUCCGAGGCGCCCCAGGCCCACAUCAACCAAUCUGCAGUCGCAUGUAAACGUUUCUAGAUGCACGCCGACGCAUACAGCAUCGCGCGCGCGCGCAGCAAAGUGACCCUUAAACUCAUGCACAGUUUGUCUAGCCGAACCGGUUCGGCCUAGCUGCUGUCCUGCGGCCUGCCAUGAUGCAACUCUUGCUGACCAAGUAAUAAUUUAUUAAUGUAAUGAUUAUAUAAUGUAAAGUUUGGCAGGAAAUAUUGCUUUAUGUGUGCUUUUCUGCGAGUUAGGCGGUCCGGCACCCGACCUGGAUCCAAAACGUACAGGGAUUGGUGAUGGCCGCCGCUCAAUCCCAGCCCGGAUUAUCCUUUGCUACUGGAUUGGUGAUUUUCACCAAUCCGGUGUCACCAAUCGGCCAUAGCGAUACGGUAUAACACACACAAACAAGUGCAUGUCCGGAAACACGCAGCAAGCAGGCAACAGGCAGGAUGGAGGAAGCCGGAAAGGUGGCAGCAAGGUUGUAAGUUAGCGUGCAUGCAGCAGGUCUAAUACGUACGCAAUAGAUGCAUGUCCAGAAACAUACGUACGCGGUGCAGACUCCACACGUCAGGCGGCACCAGUAGUCACGGACGGACAAGCCGCCAGAGGUGUACGUGGGAUCGCAAUAGCCGCUGUUUUUCCAGUCCGCGCAGUACGACAACUGGUCGACGCAUCUGAGAUGCAUGGGACAGCCGGCAGCCACGGAUCAUCAAGAACGGGGAUGGUCUUGUUUAUGAUUUCGCACCACAACCAACAAGCACCGGACGGAAGCAGGGAAGGCAGAUGGCAUUCGGGCACACCCACCCGUCAGGACAGUCAGGCAACAGGCAGCCAGCGACAAUAUUACCAUGAUUGCUGGAGGUGCUGGAGAACAAUGCACACGGGGAUAUUAUGUUGAUGGACUUAUACGAACAUGCUUGCCCAGCUGCUGGCGGGCACCAGCAAGCCACCCACCCAUGCACACAUACCCAGCAGCAGUAUCAUAGUUGAGCGGUCACCAGGCAAUUUACCGCUACCCGCUACCAUAACAUUAUGGCUUACAACGACAGACAUACAUAGCUUGUUUGUCCUAGCUUCCAAGGAACGCUCUGGAUACGUGUGCGUGGUGGUGCAUGUAAAGUUACACAGCCCAGCAUGGAAGUGCACCGCCCGGCAUAGAUACCCAUAACCUCUCCACCCCUGCCCCCUUGAUAUACCCCUCAAUCCAAGCUCUUUAUCAUGAUUAUAUGUAGUGUUUCGGAACUUGGCCAUCAGCCACCCACGCACUCUGCCCACCCCAGCACUUACGGCGAUGGUGGUGGCCGCGGCGGCGGUGGUGGCGGUGAUGAGAGCGGUGGCCUAGCGACCGACGGAGAUUCGUUCCGUCCGUGAUGUAAAAUAUCACGCACACGCGAGCGUGAUACAGCGAGGGCACGGGUGAUGAUGUACGUUGCCAGCGAUUCAUAUUGUUGUUGCGCGACAGCAUCAUGGUGGCGUCGGGCCAGAAGGCGCGGCCGUGUGGGGGGCGGGCGGGAUAAUACGAAGCAUAAUCUAAGCAAACCAGCCAAGCAAGUUGAAAAGAUGGAAGCAUGCGAUGGAUGAGCAGGUUUCGGAGCCUUCCGUGCCGAUGUGAAUCAGCGAACGUAUGCGUGCCAAAUGUUCAAAUGAAGCAAAGCAGCAGGCAGGCGCGCACAUGAAGGCCACAGGCUACCUAUAACACACACUCACAAGUGCAUGUCCAGAACAUGCAGCAAGCAGGCAACAGGCAGGAUGGAGGAAGCCGGAAAGGUGGCCGCAAGGUUGUAAGUUAGCGUGCACGCAUGGAGGUGGUGUGACGCAUGCAAAAGAUGCAUGUCCAGAAACAUACGUACGCGGUGCAGACUCCACACGACUGGCGGCACCAGUAGUCACGGACGGACAAGCCGCCAGAGGUGUACAUGGGAUCACAAUAGCCGCUGUUUUUCCAGUCCGCGCAGUACGACAACUGGUCGACGCAUCUGAGAUGCAUGGGACAGCCGGCAGCCACGGAUCAUCAAGAACGGGGAUGGUCAUGUUAAUCAUGCCGCACCACAACUAACCAGCACCGGACGGAAGCAAGGCAGGCAGAUGGCAUUCGGGCACACCCACCCGUCAGGACAGUCAGGCAGCAGGCAGCCAGCGGCAAUAUCAUUAUUGCUGGAGGUGCUGGAGAACAAUGCACACGGGAAUAUAAUGCAGGUCACCAGUCAUGGACGGUCCCUACUGCGUGAGCUGGACACAUCAACCACAAAUCUAUACUACCAAUUCAAUUGUCCGUCGGUGCUUACAUUGGGGUCGCUGGCGGGGAAAAUAUUGGAGGGGAUGGCGGCGGCGGCGGUGAAGGCGGUGGAGACCGGGGCGGCGGCGGUGAAGGCGGCGGCGGCGAAGGCGGUGGAGACCGGGGCGGUGGCGGUGAAGGCGGCGGCGGCGAAGGCGGUGGAGACCGGGGCGGCGGCGGUGAAGGCGGUGGAGACCGGGGCGGCGGCGGUGAAGGCGGCGGCGGCGAAGGCGGUGGAGACCGGGGCGGUGGCGGUGAAGGCGGCGGCGGUGAAGGCGGUGGAGACCGGGGCGGUGGCGGUGAAGGCGGUGAAGACCGUGGCGGAGGUGGUGGCGACGGAGGAGGUGAUUUUACUUGGGGCGGCGAUGGCCUAGGUGGCGGUGGCUUCGGGGAAGGUGGCGGUGGCUUGGAUGGAGGUCGCGGCGGGGGCGGCCGCGGUGGCGGAGAUAAGGCCCGCAACCGACGUGUAGAGCUUGUAAGCGUGUGCGCCCUCAGAUGAAGAGAUUCUUCAGCGCUUUGGCCACUUUGAGCGGCAUCAGCAGCCUGUUGCGACGCGGCGGAGGCCCACCACGCGACAAGUAAAGCUUUCGGUGCCUCAACAAGUAGCAGUAGAUACAUUAUUCCUAUUUCCAUGCAUAGUCCUGGCUCUCUAAUUUCAUUAUUUUUUAUGCUCUCUGCCUGUUUGAAAAGAGACGAAAAUGCGCACCUUGGUAAUUAUAGGGCU
rnacentral:lncRNA from 1 species